UCACUUUCGACGCCAGCACUACAAUAAAAUUGUUAAAAAUAUUUUCUAUCCAAAUUGCUUUUUUUUUUUUUUUUUGAUAGGUAAACAAGAAUUAUAUUGAAAGAAAGAAAGUAUACACGUCAUAUACAAAGAAAACAAAAGACAAAAAAAGGCACAAAGACAUAAAAACCAACUACCGUGCCCUACCGAGAGACUACCCCAUCCACAAAGUCAAAUCCAAAGAGUUACACAUUUCUAUUUACUUUCACAUGUGCUGAAUUUCAAUCUAAGUUCCAUGGACUAGAUACGUUUUAUCCCAAGUACCCUAUUGUUGCAUAAAGAAAAUGCCACAAGCCUAUAAUGAGUAAAUCAUAUAUGCAGGACCAGAAAGGCAUUAGGGUGAAGAUUUGGGAGGUUCCACAUUCAUGUCCUACCAAGGACCAAAAAAUUAUUAAUUAUUAAAAUAAAUAAAUAAAUCAUAGACACAAAAUCAGUGCAUGACCAAUAGCCUGGGAGCAAAAAUAACAUUGACCCUGACUGAUGAUUCACUAUCAGUGCUCAAGGUGCAUAAACGCUGAACUGAAAAAGCAGAAUAAUCUGUAUCAUCAAAUGAUUCUUUUAUGCUUGCAUAUGGCCUUCACAAUUUGAUCAAUGAAAAGAAGCAGGACAACAAAAUCCAAAAUAAAAUUAUUUCCUUAGGCAAAUUAACAAUGAUCAAGUGGUGAGUUAAUGGAAAAAAGAACCACUAAGUUAUAUCGUUUAUAUAUUAAGUUUUGGGUAUAAUAUGAAAUUCAUAUGAUUCUUUUUUUUUUUUUGAUAAAUAAGAUAGUGCAUUAAAGAAUGCAAAAAGCGCACAAAAGUACACAGGUCAUACAAUGAGCACUGAAAAAAAGAAACAGAAAAGGAAGAACAGAAAAAUACUCUCUCCCUCAAUAAAGACUCAACCAAUCUAUGAAGUGCACCAAAGGCAUAUAGCCUCCACCUAUGUACACCUUUACCUACAUAGAGAAAUUGUUAAGGAAGAUGUUUUUUAGUCUUUGAUCUAACAAUUCCUCAUUUUCAAAACAUCUCCAAUUUUUUUCCUUCCAAAUCAUCUAAAAAGUACAUGAAGGAGCAGCCCUCCAAACCUUAACAUGCCUUCUACCUACAAAGGAAUUGUGCCACCUAAGUAGACUCUCCCUAAUCAACUUAGAGAUAACCCACUGAAUAUCGAAAAUGGAAAACACCAACCACCAUAAAACUCUCGCCUCAUCACAAUGUAGGAGAAUAUGAUCAAUGGACUCAAACUCCUCUGCACAACGCACGCCUAUUAGCCAAUGUCCACCCUCUUCUUUGAAACUAAUCCAAAGUCAACACCUUACCCCAAGAAGCCUCCUAAGUAAAGAAACUCACCUUUCAAGGAAUCCAUGAGUUCCAAAUAAUCUCUAAAGGAAAUAGGAUGGCACAAUCUGUCUCCAAAGAGAUUAGAGACCUCUUAGAGAGAAAAACCCUUUGCCAUCACCCUUCCAAAGUACUCUAUCCUCCUCCUCCCUCUUCAGUGUUUGUCCUUGGAGUAAAUAAAGGAACCACUCCAUGUCAGCCAACUCCCAAUCAUUCAGAUUCCUAACAAAAAGGAAAUUCCAAAUUCCUCCUUCCCCACUCUGCUCCCAAAAGUCAGCUAUCCAUGCCUCUUUCAAAUUAGAUAAGGCAAACAAGGACAGGAAAGUCUCACAUAAGGGGGAAAGUCUCACAUAAGGGCUCCUCAUUGCACCACCUAUCUUUCCGAAACUUCACCCUGAUCCCACUACCCACUGUAAAAGAACCCUUUGUUUUAAAAUAAUAAAAAAUCUCACUACUUCCCUGUUGCUUUCCAAACCCCAACCUCAUAGGAAUCUCACACCACACCUAACCUCCAAACCCCUUAUCCCACUGAAAAUCACAUGAUCUUUGUUUUUUAUAAAGUAACAGAAAAAUGAAACCAAUUUUUUGCUAGAAAGACCAACCUUAGAAGGUACCGCUUCAAAAGUGCCACACACCUUGCAACUACCGCUGGGCUGAUGCAAAUAAAGUUGUAUUAAUGACAAAAGAAGAAUUAAUACUAUAGCAAAAAGACAUAACAAUAGGCCAAAAAGCAAUACAUCAAAGCAAUAUUAAAAGACGACAACUCAUAACAUGCGAAAGAAUGACAUGUAAAAGAAACAAUGAGUCAUAAGAUCUGUCAUAUUGCAAAAUAAAAUAUGAACAACGAACUAGGGAUUCAUCAAUAAUAGUUCAUAAUUGAAAAAUAUUUAUCAAAACAAAAAGAUAAUGGACCUAGCACUUGGCAUGUCAACUUUCAAAAUCAAGGGAGCAUGAAAACAUUAGAUAUAUUCCUUUUUCAUGCAGAUUUUGAUGUGAAGUGCAAAUGGAUGGAUACAGAAAAAGGUUGAUAUCACCACCAUCAAAUCCGCCUUUCAAUUGUCUCCAAGUUGGCUGCACAAUCUUAAUUUCCUUUUAAGUCAAUGCCUAUCCAAAAUUAAAAAUUAAAAAAAAUCCUUUCAAGUCAACUAAUAAGAAACAUAUCUUCCAUUGAUUUCUCAAACUAUACAUCUUUUCCCCUACUUUCCAUUAUAUCAUCCUUUUAAAGCCCUCCACUCACACUGAAGCACCCCUCACCACUCUUUGUUUUAUUAUAGAUCUUGAAUGCACAACAAUAAACCAUCUCAAUCAAUGCUCCUUUUUUCAUGUGUUCUUUCUUAUUCAUAGACUAACUCUUACAUGUUCUUUCUUUGUUUUUGACCCAAAUUCUAGAACAUAAAAUCUUUUGAUUGUUAAAUAUUCUGGACAGUAAACCAAGUCUUCACUCAUUAAAAAUUGUUUCCUUUUAAACAUUGGUAAAAAAUAAUUUAGGAAGCAUACAUUCAUUUAACUCACUGAGCUCUAAUUUCUACAUGAUGCAAAUUCCUCAAUUUCUAUAGAUUUGCGUAUUUAACAGAAAUGACAUAAUGUUAGUUCCAUUAUGGUAUUAAUAUAUACUUUUUGGAGCUGACCAAUAUAUCCUUAUCAUUUGCCUAUAAAAUAUAAAUAUAUAUAAAUGGUAUGUCAUACUUCUUAGUUAGGAUUGAAACUUCAUAAUUGAUUCUCCAUGGGUUUCCUUAGCUAAAAUCCAAUAUAGUUGAAUUCUAAGUUCAACUUUUUUUUUUUUUUGAUAGGUAAAUACAGAUUGUAUUAUAGUUGAAUUCUAAGCUCAACUAAUGCGAAUAUAUUGAUUUUUAUGCCUAACAUUUGAGAAAACAAAUACUACAUAUACAAUCAUAUCUUAAAACCAACAGUAAAUCAUCAAGGCAUCCCUCACUACCUCUAUUAACAUUCUUCCUAACCUUCACUCAAGGCUAGUUCCAAAGACAUGUUACUUAUCUGCCUGUCAUUCUACAUAACAACACAUGGCCAGUUUCUUUCUCAGACACAUAAUCGACCAUCAAUGUGAUGAAAUAUUUACUGUUAGGUAUCUCUUGGUCAUAAAUCUUUAACAAUUAUACUUUUCACUCAUAAAUGCCUAAUAUUACUAUACAAUGCAUUUAUUCUGUUUAAUGCCUUAGUAUCUUAAUCUUUUUUAUUCUAAAGAAACAUCAUCCAUGGUAUUCACCUAGCACUUCUUCCUAUUCUUGCUAAUUAAACCUUAAGUCACCAACAAAUAACAAGACAGAGCUCUCACUUGUACAAACCUAGUAAUGUCAUACAUAGCCCAUGCAGAAGGGUAAGACUUAAAAAGCUCAGCAUAAUAUGUGUUGAAAGUCGAAACUCACUUCUUCUUUUUCUUUUUCUUUUUUUCUUUUCUUUUAUAUAUAUUAUGAGUGCCUAUGCGAAGGGCCACUCUCCCUGAUUGUUCUCAGGGUAAGAACAGUUGCAACAUGCCUAUAUUUCUUCAUAUCAUAUGCAUGCAUGUAUGAAAUAUGUACAAGACUCAUGUUCUUGCUUAGAAAAUGUUUAUCUUUGCUUGAUCAAUUCCAAAUUCCCUUCAUUCAAUGUCAUUAGUAUUCCACUCAUAAGCAAAGUGAUCACCUAUCAAGUUCCACUUUCUCUGUGGUGUAUUUUCUGUUGUCAGAUUUAUUUGAACCCAAAAAAGGGAAAAGAAUAAAUUUAGCAUAAGAAGUAGGUGUAUUUCUUAUCGUAAAUUUAUUUUCAUCUUUCUCUUUACAUAUUUCAUAUGGCUUAGGGACAUAUUUGUUGUUUUGAUUCAGUUAAAAACGAGGUGCUUAGACAACAAGAGGCUCAUGUUCAACAUUUGGCAUCAUAUAAGUAACUGCUUCAGAUUUUUUGUCACCUGAAAGACCAUCUUUUUUGUCUUGAUUUGAUUGAAAACAAGGCACUGAGAUGAUAAGACGCUCAUCUCCGACAUUUAGAUUUAAGGGACUGUUCUAUCAUAAAAGAAAGUCUAUAUUGUCGUUACUAAAGCAGAGCAAAGCAACAUGUUGACAUUGGAAUCAACAAGAAAAAUACCCUAAACAUACCUGCGCUCCCUUUCUGCAAGUGUAUGUUCUAAAAUCACAAUAUAAGCCUGGUCAGUUGUAGUAGUGUUUGCCAGAUAAUCCUGCCAUUAAAAGUUCAAGUUGUAAUAUUACAACAAUUGAAAUGCAUCUAGAUAAUGCUUGAUGAAGGAGCCACACUUAUAUGUCAAUAUCAGAGUCAAAUGGGUUUUGGGUUAGCAGGCAAUAAGAGUUAGAUAGAGUCAUAUAAGAACUGAAUGAUGCUUUACUUUGCAUCAAAUACACGUGGGAGUACAGAAACCUAUCCUGCAACCUUAAUCACUAUAUAUCUGAAUGGUAAUUCAAAUUGAGAACAACAACUAAAUUUAUUUGAACUCUGAAUGUUCAGUGCAUGUGGCACUUAAACACCCAGCCAAAUUUUGAAUGGCUUCAAUUAAAUGAACGAACUCAUGAUUCAAGGGUAUGUCUUCAUGUUUAAUGAAAUAACAAAAUGACUUCUCGAGAAACACUUACAGUUAUAAUUCAAAUAAAGAAAACUAAGCAAUAAAUCAAGUCCAUUCUCAAUUGCCGCAAAUGGCAAUACUUUUUUCUUGCAUGAAUAAGAAAAGCUGUCUCUACUUUCUGGAAACAAAAAAAUGGUCAAAUUAAAUUGAAGACGAAAAGAGUGAAAGUAGACCUAAGUAAAUAAACAUAUAAACCUUACAAAUGAAUAGGUCACUCGUCAAAUACUCCCAUGAUUCAAACAACGGUAAGACAACAAAAUAUCAAAACAAAGCCACCAAUUAUUCACAGGAAAUGGCCCACUUUCAGCACUAAUACUCUGUUUGGUUGCAGGGAAAAUGUAGGACGUAGAAGAAAUCAAAUUCUUCAAAAUUUCAGAUAUUUCAUUAAUUCGCAUCUGAAAAAACAAAUACCCCCACUCAACCUGCCCCCAGGAGAACUAUUUCCCUAGUUGAGUUAAAUUUGAAAUUUAAAACCGAACAAAAAGAAAAUCCUUUUAGAAACUAUAACAUCAAAAAAAAUUCAACGAUUUCAUUUUCCUUCUCUUCCCGUAUUCCAAAUCAAAACCAAACCCCAAAUUCCCAACCCGCCACACCGAGAUCUGAGAAAUCAACAAACCCGAAGAGUCCGCGAGGCCUCGGACGCAGCCGCGGAGGGGGUCCCGUGGAGCGCGGCCGACGCCGCAACAGACAGACAAUCGGCGACAGCACGCCUCAGCGGCUCUGGCGGCUUCCGCAGCGACGAAGAUCGAAGUCUCGACACCGCCCCUAGCUGCAACCUCGCACUGCCGGGACUCCGCGAGGAGCUGAAGCUGGUCGACAUCGUCCGAAUCUAUCAAAAACCUAGAAUUCGAGGCAACCGAGACUCCCCUCUCUCUCCUUUCCUCCCUCUUCUCUCUUCUUUCUCUCCUUCGGCUUUUGCAUUCACACAAGUCACAAGUCACAACCAACAGUUUAGGCUUCGAUCGUUCAAAAUGUAGAGAGAGAUUAUAGAGUGUAUAUGGUGUUUUGAGGUGUAGAAACUCUACAAAUUCGGGAGUGCUGUGUGUCUAUUAGCUGUUAGUCGAAAGCCUUCUAUUUUUUGAGAUUUAAUUAGCUGGCAUGCGCUAGAAUUCGUAGUUUUUACUCUGAGAUUUUCCCCUUUCGCCAUCUGUCCUUUCUAUUUUUACCAUUUUCAAAUAUUUGGAAGGUAAAUCGGAUAUUUAAUUAUCAAAGACAAUAUUAUUUUUUUUAGACAAAAUCUACUUAGUGUUUAUUUUUCAAAAUUAUAUGAUUUUAUAAUUAAAUUUUUUUAACUUAGGUUCCUAAACGUAAAUUUUUUCUUUUAUAUAUUGAAAUAAUUUAGGAUAUAUUUUAUAACUAUUUUUUAAAACAGUUCGUUUUAUAUUUUGUAAAUCAAAAGUAUAUUUAAAAAUUUAAAAUAUUUUUUAAUAUAUUUUCAUAUUUUUAAAUAUAUUUUAAAAUUAAUUUUUAUGUCUAAUAUUUUAUUUGUGAUAACUCUACAUGUUUGUACAAUUAAUUUUUAAAACAAUCCUAAAAAAAUAAGUAAAAAUAAAGAAAACGAUUAAAAUAUAUUUUUUUAAAUCAUUUUAAAAAUAUAAAACUGAAAACAAUUUUUUAUUAUCAAAUAUAUUUAGAUUUAUUAUAAAUAAUAAUAAAAAUUAAUUACCAAACAGACCUUUGUUCUUUUUGUCUUCCCGUUAUCUCACAUUGGCAUGAUUAAAUAUAAUUUCUAUUUUCCGUUAGUGAGGUUUGAAGUUUAUAAUGACACGCAUGAGUCUUAAAUUAAAUUACGUUUGAAAGCAAUUGUUUAAAAUAUUUUUAUAUUUUUAUAAUUGAAAAAAAACAUGUUUAACAAAUAAGACAAAAAAAAAAUACAACUUUUUGUAUACUUAUUUCAUUCACUCCUCUUACAAUUUUGCUUGAAUACGUCUUAGUUUUAUUAAUUUGAAAUUUAUUAUUUUUUUCAUUUGUUAUUUUUAUUAUUUUUUUAAUUCAAAAUAAUAGAGAUAUUUGAUCAAAUUUCAAGUAAAACAAAAAAGUAUUUAACCAAAAAAAAAAACCUAGAAGAAUCUAGUGAAAUUAAUCUAAUUUUUUUGUAAAAUCAUUCUAAAAAUUGAAUAGUUUUUAAACCAAUAUUUAAAUGUUUUUAAACAUUUUUUUUAGAUGAUAAAAAAUACAAAGAUAUAUUGUAAAAAAAAUAAAACUUAUACAUGAGUGUUUAUUAAUUUCAUAAAAUAAAAAUCUACAAAUUUAUUUAUUUUUCAUAUGAACAAAAUUUUACUUUAAAAAAUAUAAUUGAAAAUUAUUGGAAAAUUUCAAAAGGGUUUCAAGCUUCCAAUUCAAAUUCCUUUUCUAUUUCAAACAAACAAACACUUGAUUGGAAAUUAAAGCAAAACAAAAAGGAAUCUUAGAUUAACUUUCUCCUCAUUUGACCAAAAUACAUUUUUCUCCAAAGAGUGGAGGAGAGAAUAUUGGGAAUUUAUUAUAAUUCCAUUAAUUAAUGUGACAUUUAUUAUAAUUUACUAGGAAUUUAUUUUUUCUAUUGUGUCCUCCACCCUCCCUUUUCAUUCCAAAUUAGACUUGUCUUUUCCUAAAAGUGUUCCUUUGAUCUUCAUGCUAACUAUGGAUUGAAAAUUGAUGACAUUAAAAGCCAAAAAAUCCAAUCCAUGGAAUCCACUAAUUUGUAAAUAAUCAAAGCAAUUUGUCAUUUCUAACCCUUGGCGCCAACAAAGUUACAGUUAAAAGGUAACCCCUUUUUAUCUUGUUGGAAUCAAAACAAUGGAGGUUUGUCCAAAUUUUCCAUCUCACUUUUUAAUGUUCCUCUCCAAAUUUCAAAAGCAGCAGCGAUUCCCACCACUUUUUUUUUUUUUUUUUUUUUUAAUUUAAUUUAUUUUUUAUUUUUUAUGUUUUUCAACUGUAUUAGUUUUGAAUGGUAAUUUUUUUCCAAUAUUUUGAAAAUAUUGAAAAAAAAAAACCUCAUUCAUAUUCGCGGUUUGCUUUUCCUCCUAUGUUUGUUUUUUAUUUAUUUUGAUUUAAUUAUAAAUAUAACUUCAAAUUGAAUAAUAAUUAAUAGUGUUAAGUAGAGAAAAUUCAAUAUGUUACCUUUUUUUAUUAAAAAUAAAUAAAUAUUUUGAUAUUUUUUUAUACAAUAAAAAUUUAAUAAUAAAUCAUGAAAUAAAGUAUAAAAACAAAUAAUUUAAAAUAAAAAUAAAUUAUUUUUAAUUUAAAAUUAAAAAAUGCCUAAAGGGAAAGAACAUAACAUAUUUUCUUAUCAUAUAUUAAUUAUUUUUAACUAUUAUGAAAAUGUUGGAAAUUGACCAAAAUAUUGAGGAGAAUUCAAUGAUAUCACAUGGGUACGGGAGGGAUUACUUUGGACCAUGUGGUAGACAGGAUAUUGACAAUUCAUUUUAAUAGGUUUUAUUUAAUUUUUAUUAUUAUAGCUUGUAUACGUGUCAAUAUCCCAUUAGACAACAUGUGAAGGUAUAAUACCAUGGUUUGACCCAAAUAUUGAUGUUUCCAUUUUAUAAAAAAAUUUGACAAACAUAAAAAUUUAAUUAAAAUUCAUAAAAAUAUUUAAAAAAAAAAAAAACAAUAAUGAUGCAUAUUAAAGAACAUGAUAUAUUUACAAGCUUAAAUUUUUAGAAAAAUGGGCCCUUUUAACCGAAAUCUCUUUGGAAUUUGCAUUUUUUAAUUACAAAAAAUAUCCAGUUUUAAAUAAUUUGCAUUUGAAUUUCCUUUCUUUCCUUUCUUGAAAAAAUAAAGCCAAAAAUUCAGAACUAAAUCAAACCAAUCCUACAGCCAAAAUUAGAAUAAAAAUCCUUUAUACCAUAUAUUACAAUAUAUGUUUUUGGGGAUUUUGAAUUUGCCUUAUUGAUAAUUAGAGUUUUCUUAUGGCCAAUAGAGUUUUUAAAAAAUUGACGAUUUUAACAAAAAUCUCUUUGGAAAUUGCAUUUUUUAAUUACAAAAAAAAUAUCAAGUUUUAAAUAAUUUGCAUUUGAAUUUCCUUUCUUGAAAAAAUAAAGCCAAAAAUUCAGAACUAAAUCAAACCAAUCCUACAGCCAAAAUUAGAAUAAAAAUCCUUAUUGAUAAUUAGAGUUUUCUUAUGGCCAAUAGAGUUUUUGACUUUUGUCCAUUGUUAUAGCCUAGAGCCGUGUGCGAGUGUGACUCACUUCUACGGAUUCAUCACAUCCAACCUUAUCAAACACAUCGGCUAACAUGCGCAUCCGUAUCUGAGCGUACACGUGUCCAUCCCAUUUCCUCCCAACCAACUCCUCUCCUAAUCGGAUGGCCGCCCUCACAGUCUCCUCCGUGCUAUUGUGCGCGGAGUCGAUAAUACCCCAAUUCAGCGCAUCAUGAGCCGUCAAUUUAGCGGCUCGAAGCAUGAGCUCGCGUUGAGACCUCGGCGCUCCGAUCUUGCUUCGAAUCAGCGCUACGAACCACCAAUCGGGAAUCUUGAUCCCAAUGUCGAGCUCGGGCAUGUAGAUAAAGCCGCGGUCAUUCCUCAUGAGGACGUAGUCGUGGCUAAGCGCGAUAAUCGCCGCGGCGGCUGAGCAGUGGCCAGAGAUGGCGGCGAUAGUCGGCAUCGGAAGGGAAAUCAGAUCGGCGACGAGUGAUCUAAGCUUUGAAGACAUGAGCUUGGACCGAUCGAGGAAGACGCCGGAAGCGGAGGCCCACGCGAGAUCGUAGCCAUUGGAGAAGAACUUGCCCUCGGCGGUCGUGAUGAGAGCAAAUGACAUUGAACUCUCGGCUCUUACUCGGCUUAGAGCGGCUGAAAUGGCAUCGAGUAGGGUGGGAUUUAGCCGGUGCUCGCCGGGGCCGGUGAGCGUGAGGAUGAAGAUGUUGCCGCGCUUCUCCAAACUGCACAUCGCUCUCCCUCACUGAUGCUCGAAGAGUAAAGCCAUAGAGAGCCUCUUCUUCAUUUCAAGGAUGGAAAUCCUACCUCGUAAAGUCCGAUAAACUUAACUUAUUUCAAUCAAUAUCAAGAUAAAAGUUAAAAGUUAAAAGAAAUAAAAUAACAAAUAUAUUUUUAAUAAAUUAUUUUUAUAAAUAUUAUAUAAAAAAAAUUAUUAAUAUUUUCAAUUGUUACUCAAAAUGUUUUUUAAAAAGUAAUUUUAAAAUAUUUGUAUUUUUUCAAAAAUAACAUAAUUUUUAAAUAAACCAUUAAAAAAUAGAGGAUGAAAAUCCUAGUAAAGUCUGAUAAACUUAACUUAUUUGAAUCAAUAUCAAGAUAAAAGUUAAAAGUUAAAAGAAAUAAAAUAACAAAUAUAUUUUUAAUAAAUCAUUUUUAUAAAUAUUAUAUAAAAAAAAAAUUAUUAAUAUUUUCAAUUGUUACUCAAAAUGUUUUUUAAAAAAUAAUUUUAAAAUAUUUGUAUUUUUUCAAAAAUAGCAUAUUUUUAAAAUAAACCAUUAAAAAAUAGAGGAUGGAAAUCCUACCUUGUAAAGUCCGAUAAACUUAACUUAUUUGAAUCAAUAUCAAGAUAAAAGUUAAAAGUUAAAAGAAAUAAAAUAACAAAUAUAUUUUUAAUAAAUUAUUUUUAUAAAUAUUAUAUAAAAAAAAUUAUUAAUAUUUUCAAUUGUUACUCAAAAUGUUUUUUAAAAAAUAAUUUUAAAAUAUUUGUAUUUUUUCAAAAAUAGCAUAUUUUUAAAAUAAACCAUUAAAAAAUAGAGGAUGGAAAUCCUACCUUGUAAAGUCCGAUAAACUUAACUUAUUUGAAUCAAUAUCAAGAUAAAAGUUAAAAGUUAAAAGAAAUAAAAUAACAAAUAUAUUUUUAAUAAAUUAUUUUUAUAAAUAUUAUAUAUAAAAAAUUAUUAAUAUUUUCAAUUGUUACUCAAAAUGUUUUUUAAAAAAUAAUUUUAAAAUAUUUGUAUUUUUUCAAAAAUAGCAUAUUUUUAAAAUAAACCAUUAAAAACUAUUUUUUAUUAAAAGUUAGUUCAACGUUUUCUGAGAGUUUCGAAAAUCAUUUUUUGUGCUUUACUCUUUUAAAGAAGAGUCUCAAAACUAUCAAAAUAACCUUAGUGGGCUGCUCAUUAGCUGAAAUGGGCCGAGUUGAGGACAAUGGCUUGAUUUGGGCUUCAACAUCCUGGACGUGGCUCUCAUGUUAAUUGUUCUUAAACCCAAAUCACAUAAUAUCUAACAUGGGAGAGAGAGAGAGAUGGGAGGAAGGGAGUCCUUACAGUUUGCAUGUGGUGACCUCACUCGAGCAUAUUGCUCCAUCGGGAUUGAUGACGACGUCGAACAUCCAGAUCAUAUUUCUUCUUUAUAAUGCACAUUGUUGUUUACGGUUAAUAUAUGCGUUGUUUGUUUUAUUGUUCCAUAUGUUUUUUUAAUCAAUCUCCAUUUUUUUUUUAUGAAAAAAUUUGGAAAUCUUCCGUGGAUAUUUCAACCACUAUCCAUGUUGUCAACAAUGAUAGUAUUCUUCAAUGGUCAUCAGUUCGAGUCCCCUCAGGGCCACUGAAGGUUUACCUGAUCAUUAACUUCAAGGUCCCAUGAGAUUAGUCGAGGUACACGUAAGUUGGUCUGGAUAUUCACAGUUAUAAAAUAAAAAAUGAUAGUGUUCUCCGCCAACUCCUCAGUUCUAACCAGGCUGUCCUCAUGGUCUCGUCCGCGCUAUCAUGUGCCCAGUCGAUGAUCCCAAAGCCAGCGCAUGUAUUUUCAAUUCCUUCAUCUUCAUGUGUCCUUUUUUAUUUUUUACUUUUGCAUGAAAUUUUGAAGUUACAACAAGAAAGCAUCCACCCAAAUUUAAGCCAUCUACACAUGCAUACACAUUGAGUUUCCAGAACUAGAAAAGUACACUGCAAUUUUUCAAUGGUUGUAGAGAAAUUAGUCUCUUCAUGUCACCAAUCUGAGGCAGGCAUACACAAUGUGAAUACAUGAUAAAAGCAUAAGUUUUAUCUUUUAGCACUACAAGCACCCGAACAUAAGUGAUUCCUAGUAAUAAGCAAGGCCCAAGAAGAAAGAAAGAAGGAAAAUUGUAUCUAAGAACAAGUGAGAAAUGGAACAGACAAAAGAACAUAAUCAUCACUAAGAGCACACUUUUCAAACAAGAACCGCAACGUGUAACUAUAACAAAGAUUUAAUUAACUGGCAUGCGCUAGAAUUCGUAGUUUUUACUCUGAGAUUUUCCCCUUUCGCCAUCUGUCCUUUCUAUUUUUACCAUUUUCAAAUAUUUGGAAGGUAAAUCGGAUAUUUAAUUAUCAAAGACAAUAUUUUUUUUUUUAAGACAAAAUCUACUUAUUGUUUAUUUUUCAAAUUUAUAUGAUUUUAGAAUUAAAGUUUUUAAAAUUAGGUUCCUGAAUAUAAAUUUAGGAUUUGUUUGAUAACUGGUUUUCAAAUUUGUUCUUUUUAUAUUUUGUAAAUCAAAAAUCUAUUUAAAAACUUAAAAUAUUUUUUAACAUUAUUCUAAUAUUUAAAAUAUAUUUUAAUUUUUUUUAUAUCUAAUAUUUUAUUUGUAAUCAUUCUUUUUUAUAAUUAUUUUUUAAAACAACCCUUAAAAAACAAAUAUAAACAAAAAACAAGUAAAAAUAAAGAAAAUAAUUCAAAAAUAUAUUUUUUAAACACUUUUGUUUUCUGUUAUUAAAAAUAUAAAACAGAAAACAAUUUUUUUGUUGUCAAAUAUAUUUUUAUUUAUUAUAAAUAAUAAUAAAAAUAUUUUUAAAAAAUAAUUACCAAACAUACUUUUGUUUUUUUUGUCUUUUCAUUAUCUCAUAUUGGCAUAAUUAAGUAUAAUUUCAAUUGUCCCGUUAGUGAUGCUUAAAGUUUAUAAUGCCACGAAUGAGUCUAAAAUUAAAGUAUGUUUGAAAGUAAUUGUUUAAAAUAUUUUUAUAUUUUUAGAAUUGAAAAAAAAAACAAAUUCAAAAAACAUGUUUAACAGAUAAAGACAAAUAUAUAUAUACAAUUUUUGUAUACUUAAUUUCAUUCACUCCUCUUACAAUUUUUCUUGGAUGUUUUAUUAAUUUGAAAUUUUGUUAUUUUUUAUUUGUUAUUUUUUCUAUUUUUUUUCAUCUAAUUCAAAAUAAUAGAGAUAUUUGAUCAGAUUUCAAGUAAAAAAAAAAAAAGUAUUUAACCAAAAAAACUAGGCGGAAUGGAGUGAAAUUAAUCUAAUUUUUCGUAAAAUCAUUCUAAAAACUAACUAGUUUUUAAACCAAUAUUUAAAUAUUUUUAAACAUUUUUUUAUUAAGAGCGAUGAUAAAAAAUACAAAGAAAUAUUGUAAAACUUGAGUGUUUAUUAAUUCAAUAAAUAAAAAAUCUAAAAAUUUAUUUAUUUUUCAAAUGAACAAAAUUUUAAUUUUGAAAAAUAAUUGAAAAUAAUUAAAAAAAAACAUUAUUGGUAAUUUUCAAAAGGGUUUCAAGCUUCCAAUGCAAAUUCCUUUUCUAUUUUAAACAAACAAACACUUGAUUGAAAAUCAAAGCAAAACAAAAAGGAAUCUUAGGUUAACUUUCUCCUCAUUUGACCAACAUACAUUUUUCUCCAAAGAGUGGAGGAGAGAAUAUUGGGAAUUUAUUAUAAUUCCAUUAAUUAAUGUGACAUUUAUUAUAAUUUACUUGGAAUUUAUUUUUUCUAUUGUGUCCUCCAUCGUCCCUUUUCAUUCCAAAUUAGACUUGUCUUUUCCUAAAAGUAUUCCUUUGAUCUUCAUGCUAACUAUACAUUGAAAAUUGAUGACAUUAAAAGCCAAAAAAUCCAAUCCAUAGAAUCCACUAAUUUGUAAAUAAUCAAGCAAUUUGUCAUUUCUAACCCUUGGCGCCAACAAAGUUACAGUUAAAAGGUAACUCCUUUUUAUCUUGUUGGAAUCAAACAAUGGAGGUUUGUCCAAAUUUCCCAUCUUACUUUUUAAUGUUCCUCUCCAAAUUUCAAAAGCAGCAGUGAUUCCCACCACUUUUUAUUUAUUUAUUUUAUUUUAUUUUAUGAUUUUCAAUAAUAUUAGUUUUGAAUGACAUUUUUUUUUCCAAUAUUUUGAAAAUAUUGAAAACAAAAACCUCAUCCGUACUCGAGGUUUGCUUUUCCUCCUAUGUUUAUUUUUAUUUAAUUUUAAAUAUAACUUAAAAUUGAAUAAUAAUUAACAGUGUUAAAUAGAAAAAAAUUGAUAUGUUAUUUUUUUAUUAAAAAAAUUAAAUAUUUUGAUAUUUUUUAUCCAAUAAAAAAUUUAUAAUAAAUCAUAAAAUAAAAUAUAAAAAUAAAUAAUUUAAAAUAAAAAUAAAUUAUUUUUAAUAAAAAAUAAACACCCUCUUAGCCUAAAGUUGGGAAAGAACAUAACAUAUUUUCUUAUUAAAUAUUAGUUCUUUUUAAUUAUUAUGAAAAAUGUUGGAAAUUGACCAAAAUAUCCAGGAGAAUUCUAUGAAGGAGGGAUUAUUUUGGACCAUGUGGUAGAUAGGACAGUGACAAUUCAUUUUAAUAGGUUUUAUUUAAUUUGUAUCAUUAUAGCUUGUAUACGUGUCAAUAUCCCAUUAGACAACAUGUGAAGGUAUAAUACCGAAAAGUUGCUUUUAGGUACCAUGGUUUGACCCAAAUAUUGAUGUUUCCAUUUUAUAAAAUUUUUUUGACAAACAUAAAAAAUAUAUAAAAAAAUAAAAAAUAAUAAUACAUGUUAAAGAGCAUUAUAUAUAUAAAUCAAAAUCUUACGAGUUUAAAUUUUUUAAAAAAUUGACGAUUUUAACAAAAAUCUCUUUGGAAAUUGCAUUUUUUAAUUACAAAAAAAAUAUCAAGUUUUAAAUAAUUUGCAUUUGAAUUUCCUUUCUUGAAAAAAUAAAGCCAAAAAUUCAGAACUAAAUCAAACCAAUCCUACAGCCAAAAUUAGAAUAAAAAUCCUUUAUACCAUAUAAUCCAAUAUAUGUUUUUGGGGAUUUUGAAUUUGCCUUAUUGAUAAUUAGAGUUUUCUUAAGGCCAAUAGAGUUUUUGUCCAUGGUUAUAGCCUAUAGCCGUGUGCGAGUGUGACUCACUUCUCCUACGGAUUCAUCACAUCCAAUCUUAUCAAACACAUCAGCUAACAUGCGCAUCCGUAUCUGAGCGUACACGUGUCCAUCCCAUUUCCUCCCAACCAACUCCUCUCCUAAUCGGAUGGCCGCCCUCACAGCCUCCUCCGUGCUAUCGUGCGCCGAGUCGAUAAUACCCCAAUUCAGAGCAUCAUGAGCCGUCAAUUUAGCGGCUCGAAGCAUGAGCUCGCGUUGAGACCUCGGCGCUCCGAUCUUGCUUCGAAUGAACGCUACGAACCAAUCGGGAAUCUUGAGCCCGAUGUCGAGCUCGGACAUGUAGAUAAAGCCGCGGUCAUUCCUCAUGAGGACGUAGUCGUGGCUAAGCGCGAGAAUCGCCGCGGCGGCUGAGCAGUGGCCAGAGAUGGCGGCGAUAGUCGGCAUCGGAAGGGAAAGCAGAUCGGCGACGAGUGAUCUGAGCUUUGAAGACAUGAGCUUGACCCGAUCGAGGAAGACGCCGCCGGAAGCGGAGGCCCACGCGAGAUCGUAGCCGUUGGAGAAGAACUUGCCCUCGGCGGUCGUGAUGAGAGCAGAUGACAUUGAACUCUCGGCUCUUACUCGGCUUAGGGCGGCUGAAAUGGCAUCGAGUAGGGUGGGAUUUAGCCGGUGCUCGCCGGGGCCGGUGAGCGUGAGGAUGAAGAUGUUGCCGCGCUUCUCCAAACUGCACAUCGCUCUCCCUCACUGAUGCUUGAAGAGUAAAGCAAUAGAGAGCCUCUUCUUCAUUUCAAGGAUGGAAAUCAAGUCCGAUAAACUUAACUUAUUUGAAUCAAUAUGAAGAUAAAAGUUAAAAGAAAUAAAAUAACAAAUAUAUUUUUAAUAAAUUCUUUUUAUAAAUAUUAUAAAAAAAAAUUAUUAAUAUUUUCAAUUGUUACUUAAAAUAUUUUUUAAAAAAUAAUUUAAAAAUAUUUUUAUUUUUUCAAAAAUAGCAUAUUUUUAAAACAAAUCAUUAAAAACUAUUUUUUAUUAAAAGUUAGUUCAACGUUUUCUGAGAGUUUCGAAAAUCAUUUUUUGUGCUUUACUCUUUUUAAGAAGAGUCUCAAAAGUCAAAACUAUCAAAAUAACCUUAGUGGGCUGCUCAUUAGCUGAAAUGGGCCGAGUUGAGGACAAUGGCUUGAUUUGGGCUUGAACAUCUUGGACACAAGAAGUUAUACGUGGCUCUCAUGUUUUUAUUUUAUUUUAAAAUCUAAAUGGCAUAACUAAAUAACAAUGUAUAUAUAUAUAUAUAUAUAUAUAUAUUUUAAUUGUUCUUAAACCCGAAUCACAUAAUAUCUAACACGGGAGAGAGAGAGAGAGAGAAAGAUGGGAGGGAGGGAGUCCUUACAGUUUGCACGUUGUGACCUCACUCUAGCAUAUUGCUCCAUAGGGAUUGAUGACGGCGUCGAACAUCGAGAUCACAAUGGGGCUCUCAGUUCCUCGUUUUCUCAACUUAAUGCCUCAUUGCGCUAAAGCAUAAAUGGAAGUCAUUAUUCAAACUCACAUUGUUUUUACUUUCAAAAUCAUAUUUUUUCUUUAUAAUGCACAUUGUUUUUUUACUGUUAAUAUAUGAAUUGUUGUUUGUUUUAUUGUUUCCAUAUGUUUUUUAUGAAAAAAUUUGGAAAUCUUCCGUGGUCGAAAAGUGGAUAUUUCGACCGCUAUCAUGUGCCCAGAUGAUCCCAAAGCCAGCGCAUCCCGUGCCAUCAAUUUGGUAGCUUGAAUCAAGAGCUCGAGCCGAGCCUUCGGCCGGAUUGUGCACUGAAUAGCUAGAAACUUGAUUCAGUUGUCCAGCUCGCUCAUGUAGACGAAGCCACAGUCCUUAUCGUGAGGACAUAGUUGUGGCUCAGUAGGAGGCGCAGCAGAGGCAUGACCGGAGACUGCCGCGAUGGUGGGCAUAGAAAGCCAAAUGAGAUCAAUGAGGACCGCUCUGAACUUCAACGCUCAUUAGCCAUUGGAGAAGAAUUUUCCCUGGCGGCCAUGAUGAGAGCAUUGGAUGUGGAGCUCUCAGCACCGAGUCUGCCCUAGAGCCACUGAGAUGCGUCUAGUAAGGUCAGGUUUAGCAUGUGGGCACCAGCGCCAGCUUGUGAGGCUGAAGAUGUUGUCGCACUUCUCCAAACUGCUCAAGACAACUUAAUAAUGGAGAGUGGAAGAUUGAUAACAAUGGAAGUCAGCCAUCCCCACACAGAAUCCAGAGUUGAUCAACUUUUGAAUAAAAUCGUGUAAUAUUAGAGUAAUCAACACUAAGCUGAAUCUCAGUCGAGGGAAAAUUCACACCCCCCUAAGAGGCAUCUGGGAGGCAGAUUCAAAAUAUCCAGAACGCCCAUAUCCAAGCCCUGAGAUAAUGAUUUGCCAUAAAGUUUUCAAACUAAAAUUCAUACUGAAAUAGGAAGGACACCCAGCAAUGGCCUUGUCUCACUCUUUUCCAUGCAACAUACUACCAAGUAGCUCUAUGAAAGAGGAAUCAGACGCUUAUACCUCUCAUUUAAGAUCGAUCAAUUCGCAAUCUAAAUGUAUUACAACAAAACAAAAUGUAGUUCCCAUGAAAGAUUCCUAUAAGUGGCUGGUCAAUACCUGCGCACAACAUGGUCAAACAUUCGGACUGAAGGACACUCAAAUGACUGAUGACCUCUCCCACCACAGUUGUUGCAGAUGACAAUGGAUACACAGUCACGGCUGAUAUGGCCUGGCUGCCCACAGUUGUGGCAUGUUAUGUCACGGAAAGGGCCUCCUGUCUCUGGCACCAGCCUUGAUUUUGGGCACUGGCGGGCUACAUGACCUGAUAUAUUGCAGAUGUUGCAGACAGGCUCAUUGAGGCAGUCUCGAGCGAGGUGGCCAGUUUUAUGGCAGUUGUUGCAAGCCUUCUCAUUGGUGCAGUCCGCAGCAAUGUGGCCUGGCUUGUAGCAGUUGUUGCAGAGUCUCGCAUCAUGAGCGGGUAGACCUGGGCUUGAGCAAUCCCGAGCCAGGUGACCCAUUUUGCCACACAUAUGGCACACUGGAUCAUUAGGACAUUGGCUCGCAAGAUGUCCAGACUCUUUACAGUUCCAACACAUGGUUGUUGAGUUACACUCAGCAGCUAUGUGGCUACAAAGGAAAACAUAUUAAAUCAGGUUUUUGCCAGAAAUCAGUUUGGUGGGUGAAUCAGGGGUUAAACUAUCCUGAGGAACCACCAUACAUGAUACAUCAACCAAGUAUUGACAUAUUUUAAUUCUAGAAAUUGUUCUCUCAUAAAACAUGUAAUGUUCUAGAGAAACUAGAAGGGGAGGAAUUCAUCUUACCCAGGAAGGCCACAGUUGUUGCAUACAGUCACAUUUGGGCAAUCUCUGGCAAAAUGCCCUGGUCUCUUACAUUUAUUGCACAGAUAAUCUUGCCUGGAAAUUAACAAUAUAAUUGGUUGUGAUAAUUUAAACCAAAAGACAGCAGCAACUAAAAGAUCUUGGUUUUAACAAAGGUAGAGUCCACACAUCAAGGAGACCACUUUGAGAGGAAUGCAUUUAGAAAAUCAACAUACUGGAGAUAGUAACCUCCAAUGCUGCAGGCUUGGACUACCACAGACAAUGUUAAUGUGUUUACAAGUAGGUGUUCAAUAGAAUUCCAGAGGGGAUUUCUUUCUCAAUUUUAUCUAUUAUAGCAGCUCUUCCAAAUUGUUUAAGAAAAUAAUAUAUUUGUUAGAAAAUAACCAUACAUUUAGGUAAUUACUCCAAAGCAAGACUUGGGGAUCACAUGCCCUAUCCAAGUUAUUCUCAUCUAUGGUAUUUUCAAUUUCUUCAUCUUCAUGUAUACUUUUUUAUUUUUUACUUUUGCAUGAAAUUUUGAAGUUACAACAAGAAAGCAUCCACCCAAUUUUAAGCCAUCUACACAUGCAUACACAUUAAGUUCCUAUAUAUGGUGUUUUCCAGAACUAGAAAAGGACACUGCAAUUUUUCAAUAGUUGUAGAGAAAUUAGUCUCUUCAUGUCACCAAUCUGAGGCAGGCAUACACAAUGUGAAUACGUGAUAAAAGCAUAAGUUUUAUCUUUUAGCACUACAAGCACCCCGAACAUAAGUGAUUCCUAGUAAUAAGCAAGGCCCAAGAAGAAAGAAGGAAAAUUGUAUCUAAGAACAAGUGAGAAAUGGAACAGACAAAAGAACAUAAUCAUCACUAAGAGCACACUUUUCAAACAAGAACCGUAACAUGUAACUAUAACAUUUAUGCAACAUGGGCUAUAAGUGUGUGUGUGUGUGUGUAGAUAAAAGGAAUAACAGUUAGAUUUUGCUGAAUUGAUAAAGGAGCAAACCGGUGAACUCGAUGAUCCCUUGGGUAAGGUGCGUCUUGGUAAGAAGCACGGUCACUGCUACGAAGCCUCUUGGCUUGUGGUGGGCUUCUGCUUCUAUCCAGAGUCAUACUGGAAACCUGUAAGUAAACUUUCUCAAAUAUAUGACAAAAUGAAAGAUAGAACACAACACUAUCAGGCCCAGGAAUUGCCAACUCCGACCCACCAAAAGUAUCUGCUGCCUGCCUAUAUCACCACACAGCCCAAACCACAAACAUAAAUCUAAGUCAACAUCCAACAACUCCAACCCAAAUUACAUUGAACACACUCUUAAAUUCAAAAAUAAUAAUAAUACAUGCACAUAAAAGCAUUAUAUUAAAAGGCAAUGCCAUGACAACAGAGGAAAAAGAGGAGAAGGGGCACAAGCAGGAUGCGGGAAAUGAAAAAAAAAAAAAAAAGAUGAAUCAAUAAUAUUUUGUUCUCCACAACACAAGGAAAUUAAAAAAAAAAAAAAAAACAUAGAUAACUGAGGAACCCAAAAGAAACUUAUGUUCUUAUAUUUCAUUUACUUCAUUUAGCAUUACAAACUGAACGAUCACCUCAAACAAACCAAGUGGUUGUAUUAGGCCCAAUUGAUUGAGCACUUUACUUCUCAUAUCUCAAACAACAAGAAAUCCACAAUUAACUCUUUUAAUUUCCUUCUUUCUCCACUUUCUCAGCAACCAAACAGGUGAUAAAUGCAAGAUGCCACAAUGUCCAACCUCGUACAGAGGAUUCAUUAAGAACCUCAAUCUCAACCUUGCUCCAAUUUGAUGAUAAUUCUCAAUAUUUCAAACCGUUUGAAUUCAACGGCAUUUACAAAACCAAACCCUAUCCCUACAGUGAAAAAAAGUGCUCAAAAGAAAAUAACACAACGCGUACCCAAAUCAAGGUAAUAUAUGAGCGAGUUAAACUGAACUCAUGAUAUUCUGUUUGGAUGUCAAUGAAACGCAUUACAAGAAAAAAGAAAUAUUACAAAAAGGCCUCCCCUAGAGCGGCUGCUAUAGUAUUCAGAAUUUCCUUUUCCUUUUUCUUUUUGCCUUUUCUUCCCGUUUCAAUUCCUACUGUUUCUCAACAACCAAACAGAUCGUGAAAAGAAAACAUAUUUCCAAAACAAAUCCAAAAAUCUGUAAAAAAAAAAAUAAAAGGGGGAAAAAGUAAAAUACCUUUUUACGAUUAAGCAAAACCUCAGGGUUCGAUUCUCCCAGCUCCGGAAACCAGAGAGGACAUCGAAGAAGCCCUAGGGUGGGGAAAGGGGAGAGAGAAAGAGAGACUUCAACUUCUCUUAACUUUAGCAGAAGCAGAAACCAUUUGAAAAAACGACGUCGUAUUUAUAAACGUCGGUGUCACCCAAUUCCCUCCCUCUUAAUCAAGGAAAAGCUUUUCAAGCCAGGGUUUGAUGCCUCCACGUCCAAAUUUGUAAAAAGAUUGAAAUUCUAAUUUUUAUGUUGAAAGAAAUUAUUAAAUAAGUGUAAGAAUAUCGUAAUUUAAUUAGAAAUUAGAAAAAUAUUAUAUGACACGUCACCAAUUAAGAUUAAAAUUGGCCAGAUUAAAUCAUGAUAUUGCAAAGGAAUCCAAAGGGUCAUGUGUGAACUGCGAUUGAAAAUUCGAAAUAAUUUCAAGACAGAGGUGCUGACAAUAAAAAUGAGAGCAUGGAAACUUUUUUAUUGAGAGAACUUCCUUAAUAUUAUUUAAGGAUAGUAAGAAAUUACAAUUAAAGAAGCAUCAUGGAGGAGCUUUUCAUGGCUCAGCCAUCAUGAGACGUUAAUAAUGGACAGAGCAGAGAGAGCAGAAAGACUUGCGCCACAACCCAGUAAGGCAGGAGGGUGGUGAUGAAGGUCACCAGCCCAUCAAUGUCCGUUUAACCCUAUCAACAAUCUGACUUCUACUUCGACUACUUGUUAAUGGAAACUCAACGCUUUCUUCCAAACGGAAUCUGUACACUUCCCAUUCCCGAUUCGACGUUGAAUGCCUAACAAUUUCCCCCUACAAAGCAAUAAAAAAGGGAAGAGAAUUUAACAUCUAGUACAAUGAAAGUACCAAGAAAAUCAGAUUUUGAGGUUUCUUACCGAGAAAAUGCAUAUCCCUAAUGUUUUUAGAGUGCAUGUAACAUCAUAGAAAACGCGGGGUCUUCCCUUCCCAGAUAGCUCCACUGGAUUGGCAACCAGGAGUUCGGCGUCUGGUCCCCUGUUGGUAAUAGUAACUCGUAAUGGGUGAAGCAUCUCCUCCUUGAGACGAGAACACAAAGAAGCCUGAUACUCUGGAUCUAUUAUCUUUUUCCCAUCUGUUUUCUGGAUGAAUAGAUCCAUAUUGCGGUAGCCUUUCACACUUGGAUUGAAUCGACCAUAGGCAAUCUAUAUAAUUUGGUUAACUAAGAUCAAUAUAAUUAACCAUAAAGGAACAGUUAUGGAAGGAAACUUGAGUGCAGUGAUCCUCUUAAGAUUUCCUAAGCUAAAAUCAUUAACCCAGUUAGCCAUCAAAUCUACAUAGUUUUUGUUGCAAAUCGAAAGAAAAGAAGGCAAACUGUCCAAUGUGCAUAGUCAUUCAAACAUUCAAGAAAGAAAGAAUCUAUAGCUUUAGUGGAACCAGAUUAAUCCAUGCCCGACUAAAAUUGAGUUACUAGAAACUCUAUCAGCAAAUACCUGAAUAUUGCAGUCUUUUGAAGUCCUCAUAAUGUCAUAGAAGAGGCCUUUUUGAUCAAGACAUUGUAUUUGAAGCAAGGUAUGAGCUGGACUCAGAAAAUUAUCUACAGUAAUAGUGCCGUUCUCAAGUUUAGUCAUAUUUGACUUAUUGUCUAAUAGCUCAGAGCCAAAUAGUUCUUCUGCAAUCUCCGGUGACAGUGAAGAGCAGCCCUGCUGACUUCUAUAUUCAGGCCCUGCCAACUGAAUUUCACAGAUGACAUUAAAUUCCCCCAAAACAGCAAGCAGACGAGCACAUGUGUCGUCUUGCCUCUUCUUCGUGUGUAGUAACUCCCUGAAAUGAUACAAUAGCAAAUACUAGAAUUAGCCACUACUCUUUGAUAUAUGACCCAGUCAUUAGCAAUUUGCUUUCCUAUCAUUGUUAUGUUCUGAAGACACAAACUUCUAUCAAUCAAACAAAGAGGAUGUUGGGAAAAAUAGACUGCAACAAAACAAAGUUUAAUUCCUGAAAAGACAUUUACUAAGUGAGAAGAAGUAAAAAAUUGUACAAGGAUAGAGAAGGAACAUAUGAAUUGGAUGAUAAAUCAGGGACAUUGCUUGCCAUAUGGUCAAGAACAUCAGUCGUCUGUCUCUAGACAAGAAUCUCACAGAUAAAUCAAUAUGGGCAGUUUACUCAUAACAGAUUUGUUUUUGAAUCUAAUUAUAAGGAGAAUUGUACAGUCAUGAUUGUUCCUUGAAAGUACCAAGGAAAGAAAAAAAAUAUUAAGGAAAAUGAUUUUCUCGUGUUCAAUUUUAAUAUGAAAAAUAACAAAAAAUUAAAUAUAAUUAAAGUUAGUUACAAAUUUAUGCAUUUUAAAAUUUCUUAAUCUUUAUGAUGAAGAGGAAAAAUAAGUGAAAUAAGUUUGAAGUAAUAUAUAAAAAUAAUUUAUUAACUUUAAAUUUAUUUUUUAUUUUCCUUCACUAAUUCUCUUUAUUUUCUUUCCCUUGAUUAUUCCGAAACCAAAUAUAGCCUAGAAGUUUGUCUCUUUUGCUUGUAGAUUUAUGGUUCCAUCAAGGGAGAGUCCCACCAUGUAGUCACUACAAAAUUGGCAGAGAUGUAUUAUAGUUUUACUUCUAUCAUCUACAUCACAGCUACAAAAUCCAGGAUUCCUACUGCAAAAGAGCAGAAGGGAGGGAAAUGCAAUUUUUGUUACCAAGUUUGUAAGAACGAUAGUGAUUCCUAACAUUGCAAGGAACAGGACUAAGAAUAUCCAUUCAGGAGAAGAUUUAGUGCCAAUAUCAAAGUCUACAUAACAGUGAAAUCUAAGAAAAUUCCAAAAAUAAAUUCAGAAAAAGCAAUAACUAUGUACAACAUAGCCAUGAUCGUCGAAAUGAAAGAUUGAGCCCAAGAGAAUUUCAUAAAAUGUCAGCUCCAAUGGGAAAGAGAGAACAUAAACUACAGGAACAUCAAAUGGAAUGCAACCUAACAUUGACCCAAUACAGUUGACCAGCCAGCAGCCAUACCGCCAAUUCAUGGUGAUUCUUCAACAGCAUACCAAGGUAAAUCUUCACCCAGUGAACCUACCUAGGAUUCCACUGAAAUCCUAGAAGUUUAGGUUAACUCAGGAAAAUAACUUUUUGAAACAAAUUCAAUAUUUUUAGAACUUAAAUAAAUGGUCUCCCAGAAACGAGCCAACAUGCAAUACAUGAUAUUUUGGGUGGUGGGCUGCUUCUGUAAGAGUUAGAUAUAGCUAGCUGCUAAAUAAGUAAGUUUGGAAAAGUCAGAGGACUACUCAUUUUUGCAAAGGAAAAGCUUUACAAAAAAAGUUAAGUCAUAGAAAUUGAUGGAUCAAUUAUGUGGUCCACUUUUCUUUGAAAUCUAAGAUAGAAAUUGAUGCCACCUCAAUUUUCUAUAAAUUUGCAUAAAUUUUUUGUUCAUAUAACCUAUCUUACGGAUAUUAUAGCAAAUACUAACAUGCCAUCCGUGAUGAAGAAAAGGUCCAAGACUCUGCCAUCAGGGGUUGUCAUCACUUUUACUCUUUCAAUUGUAAACUCGAGCUCAGAGAGGACUUUGGUGACAUCUACAAAAAUGCAACAACCAUGUCAGGUGAUUUUUACAUAAAUCAUAAAGCCAAAAAUAAUAAGGAAUGACAUUUGUAAUUACCAUGUAACAACCCAUUUCGGUCAAGGCAAAAAAGCUUUAGCAUAUAAACCGGAGAAGGGGAUGAACCAUACUGCUGAUUGAAGCAGUAUGAAAAUAAAGGUGAAGGACAUGCAGAUAGAAGCCGGUUUUUUAAGCUUUCCCAAUCAAUUUUGAGCGAGCUAGGGCAUGGAACAAAGGAAAACACAAUGUAACACCAUCUCCCAUCAGUUGAGAAAUCUGCAUCCAAAUAUUUUGUAAAACUAUUAGUGUGUAUACACCAAAAAAAUAAGUCAGCAAAUGAAAAGUCGUAAUUAAAGCAAAUAUGACCUUUUGAACUGGAUUCAAAUAAAUUAAGGAACAAGAAGAAAAAACUACUUUACUAAAAGAAUCAAAAGAAUUUGGAACCAUUCCAAAGAAGGAAAGAAAAACAAAUCAACUGCCUUUUGACAGACUGUAAAACAACAGCAAAUAAACAAUGGUGGUGUUCUUAGGGGCAGUUUGUUGGUGGUCGACAAAUCUGUUGCGAUUCUUCUUCCCAACAACAUUUUUAGUUUUUUUUUUUCUUCCAAGGUGAGCAAAGCACGUCGGAUAUGCCACUCAGAAACAAAAGGUGAGAAAAUAAAAUCUAAAAUCAGAAUUGAACAGAAAAAAGUCACAUUUGAAUAUAACAUCAUAAUCGAAAGAAGUGACUGCAAACCAAAUCAGCCCUAAAUCGAAGCCUGCUUUUUUCUCAGAAAAGAUAAAAUGUGAAAACAGCAAGAUUAAAAACCAGUGCUCAAGUACUGUUUAGUUUGCAUCUGAGAAAAUGGCUAAAUCAAAAUUUCAGUUUUGAAAAUCCAAAAAAAAGAAAAAACGAUGAGAAAGGAAAAAAAAAUCUAACAAAAAAGCAAUCAAGAAUGAAAAAAAGUAAAAUUUGAAAGAUUCAAAUCAAACUUUUCAAGGAAAAAAACGAUUUAAAAUAUUGCGAACCCAAAGAAAAAAAGAAUUGAGUUCGAAAUCGAACAUGACUGACCUCCUCUAGCAAUGCAGAGCCCGAAUUCGAGUAUUAUUCUACAGAGAUCGCAUCCAAGCCCGGCUUUAUCAGGACAGUUGAUGGUGAUGGAGCAUGGUUCGCCGGGCUUGUUCCCUUUCUGGAUCAAAACGGCGUCGUCGCAAAAAAUCCCCAUGACUUACGUCAAAGCGAUCCCUACAUAAUAAUGUUCGUCGCCGGUCAACACAUCUCAUCGCCGUCGUAACGGUUGUCGGGCGAGUUCGUAGGUUAACGUCUGCCGGAUACACCCCCUCCCUCCCUAGUCCCUAGUCCCUCCCUUCUCUCCCUCCUCUUAUUUCCAGCAAGUGGACAAUGUGCGCCAAAUGUAGGGAAAUGGUAGCUGUCAACUUCGCGCUGGACCCCAGUCUGUUGAUGUCCACGUCAUGAAAGUGAAUAAAUAGCGUGGCCACGUCAGGCUUGACUAGGCACACGUAAAAAAUAAUUAUAAAGUAAUACUAAAUAGGAAAAACAAAAAUAAACUUAAUUUUCCACGUAUAUGAGAAAUGCGGGUUUUUGAAUUAAUUUAUUUGAUCGAUUUAUCUUAAGAAAUAUUUGAUAAACAAAUAAGGAAAUAAUCUUCUAAUUAAAAAAUAAAUUCUUAUUUUUCCUUGUGAGUGUUUAGCUAGGUUGGCAAUUCCGGACAAAAUUCCUAAGUGUUCCCUAACUCGGCUUUCCUAUUCCUAUUCGGACUACUUGACUUUGAAGACUAAGACUUUGCUAAGAGGCCAAGGUAUGUAGUCGAGUUUGGAGUGAUUGGGUGUGAAUCAACCCGGUUUUUAAUCUUUAAAAUGUGUUAGAAAGUUGGGAAAAAUGGUUUUUGGUGCAAGGCUUUUAUUCCUCUGUUUCUGGAUCGAUCCAGGUGUAGGUGUGGAUCUAUCCAACUAAUGUUUUUUUGAUCAAAUCUCAGUCAUUAGAUUAAGGGUUUCUUUUUACACUUUAAAACCCAAUCUUCUCUCAUUUUCUGAGUAGAGAGACUGCUGAAAACGUGGGGAAAGCAGCCACACUCCCAAGUGUUCUUCAUUUCUCAUUUUUGCUUUCCUAAGUUGGGGUUUUUGAUUGCAAAGAAAAUCAACUUCUCUUAAUGUUUUCAAAACUUGUUUUCAAUGGAUUUUCUUGAGCAAUAAAUGGGUUGAUUCAUUCUUUCAUUCACAUCUAAAUCUCUCAUUCUAUUUGGGUUGUGCAAAAACCCAUUUUCUUCUUGUGUGGAUUCAAGAAGAGGCCGAGAUUGAGCUUGGUGCGGACUCCAAGUGUGCUCCAAAAGGAGAAGCUGAAAAUGAAGGUACUAGUCAAGUAUUCCGGGAAGGAUUGGUUCGCUUGAGCUAGGUAAAACCUUGUACUCAGUUUUUUAUUCUUCAUAGUGGAGUUUUCAAUCGGUGAUAGGCCCGUGGUUUUUGAUCUCUUCGGAGGUUUUCCACGUUAAAAAUCUGGUGUUCAUUGUCUCUUUCUCUCACUCUAUAUUUUGUUUUAUUUUUAGGAGUGUUGAAGCAUUUGCAUGUGUUUUGCAUUUAUAAAUUGUUGGGAGAGUGUUGAUGCAUACAUUGUUGCUUGUGGAUGUUUUAUUAAGGUUAGGUAAUCUUUGUUGGGAGAAUUUUAAAAUUGUUCUACAACACCUAUUCACCCCCCUCUAGGUGUAGUUCAUUAUUGAGAUUCACAUUUUCAUUCCUAUUUUAAAAUUUUAUGCAAGAUUUUUUUUAAAUUAAAUAAAAAUAUCCUUUAUUUAUAUUUUUCCAAAUUUUAUUUUUUCCUCUCCUAAAUUUUUGUUAUGUUUGAUUGGCUCAAUAUUAUAAAAGAGGAUCUUAUUCCAUGUUUGGUGGAUGAUUAGUAAUGAAAUAAAAUAACUUAUAUCAUUAUUUCUCCUAUUCUUUCAGUCAAAUAUAAGAUAUGAUAAAUGAUGUGAUAUAUAAUCUAUCCAAUUAUUGAUAUAUCUAUGUAUAAUAAGUUUAUUUUUAUUUUUUUAUUAAAUAAAAUUUAUGGUUCAAAAAUAAAAAUUGGAAAAAUAUUUAUUAAAUACAUUAUUUUAUAAUAUUAAUAUAUGAUAUAUAAAAUAUUUUUAUAUAUUGAAUAACAUAAUAUCAAAAUUUUUAUUAUAAAAUUUAAGUAUUUUAAUCAUGAAUAUUGUUAAAUAUGAUAUAAUUUUUAUUUUAAAUAUUAAAAAAUAAUGUCUAUUGAAUAUAAUAUACAAUAUAUCAUAUAUAAAUGGAAAUUAUAUUAUAAGAUAUGUAUUUCCUUAUCGAAUGAAAUAUGAUUUUGGAGGAUAUAUAUAUCCUAUUUAAUCUCAAACCAAAUAUAGUCUUAAUCUUCACUCUUUACUUCCCUUAUAUGAAUCUAAUGAAAUGCCCUCCACGUUAAUAAUAAUGAACUUAUUCAACAAUUAUGUAUAAAAAUAAUAUUUUAAAAUUAUUCAAUAAUUUAUAUUUUCUUGAUUUUUUUUAUAUUAGAAAAUGAUGUGCAAUUUCAGUAUAAAUCGAUGAAAAUUCAUAUUUAUAAAAAAAAAAUGUAUUAUCCUAAGAAAUUAUAGCAUACAUUUUCUAAAAUACAUGUAAAAGGGAAAAAAAUAUAUAAUAAAAGGAAAAAGCUUGUUUUCAUAUACCCAUAUAAACAAAAAAAACCCAAAAUAGAAAUUUAAAUUUAUAAAAUACAAAUCUCAAACAACUAUUUAAAAAUGAUUACUAUUUCAUAUUUUUUAUUUAUUAAAAGUAUUAUUUUUUACCAUUAAAUAAUAGUUUAAGCAGUGAGUGUAUAAAAUUUGAAAUAUUUUAAAAAGGUUAAUUAUUUUUACAUACACAUUUGAGUGUAUAAAAUACAUUCAAGAGGUAUGUUUCAAUAAAUAAAUAAAAAAACAUGAUGAUAUGUAAUUAUUUUUCUAAUUUAUGAAUUACAAAGUAUUUAAAUAAAAAAAGAAGAAUAGAAGACAAAAAGGAGAAAUGGACGGAGGUUGAUGAAAAGCAAAUGGGUCCGAGUCCAACGGAAGAAUUGCUUGAGUCAACGUCACUGGCUUGAAAGCACGGCCAGAAAUGAUUAAGGAGGAAAAAAAUCAAGUACAUAAUUGUGUGGGACCUGUUUGGCAACAUUAUUUGCAUGGUUAAUUAUUAGCUUUAAAGUAGUAAGAAAGCACUUGAGCCAGCCGUUACAACUCUAUCUGAAGAGCAUCGUUGUCUGGACACCAACAAUAAUCACGUCUUUUUCUCAAUUAAUUGCUCCGAUCCUCGAAUCACGACUGUUGUGUCUGGAAGCAAGGUGGGCCACCGUCUGAAGGCGAGACCUGUCGGCCAACUUGCAAGUAUACAAACAACAUAAAGCCACGUCAGAUUGCAAGAGACGAGACUACCAUCGUCCGUCUUCUUUUAAUGGGUGUUUUUUGUUUUAAAUGUUAUUUAUUAUCGUUAAGAUAACAUUUUAAAUGUUAUUUCAAUGAAAUUAUAAAAGCGUGGGUUAAAGAAAACGUUAAUAAAUCCAAUGACACCAAAACAUUUCCAAUCAAGGCUGUUUUUAUGCGUCAUUUUGUAUUAGGACUAAGGGUUUAUAUUAAGUAUCUUGUUUGAAUCUUAGGUGUUGUUUGGGAAAUAUUUUUGAAAACGAUGCUAAAAAAACUAAUUUAUGAGAUUUACGGUCGGGAACUUAAAAUAUAUAUUUUUAUUGUUAGGAAACUGAAUAUUAAUGUGUUUUUUUUAUAAAUAAUUUUUAUAUGUAAUACUUUAUUUUUUAUUAUUUUUCAUAUUAAUAUAAUUAUUUAAAUAAAAUAAAAUAUAAGUGAAAAUAAUUAAAAUAUAUAUUUUUUAAAUACUUUAUUUUAUAUUUUUAAGGACAAAAAAUUAUUUUCAUGUUAAAAAGUUAUCAAACAUGUUUUGUUUCUCUUUUUCUUUUUUGUCUAAAAAAAAUGUUUUUGAAAAUUGCUUUCAAAUAUAUCUUUAAUUUUCGAGUUUAAAUAAGGUUUGCAUGAUAAUCCUGAUUUGAUAUAUGUCUCAUUCAAUGUUCAUACUCAAAACAUAUCCACAACACAAUGAGGUAAGACUUAUCUUUACAUGAAAUCAAUCAUUCAAACGGUUCAUUUUGAUUGGUCACAUCUAAUUUUCUUGAUAUAAGAUUUCCUCAAGACUAAAAAGUAUCAUUAUCCAUAAAAAUCAUAAUUAACAUUUAUUUUCUUUUUAUCAAGUAUACUUUAACUUAACUUAAAUUAGCUUAAGUUGAGCUCAAUGUUGAAGUGUCGAUAACAUGUUUGUAUUUUUUAUGGUUUGAAUGCUUUGAAUUAUGAAGUUAUUUGUUUUAUAUAUUAAAAAUAUUUGAAAAUUAGUAAUAAAAUGAAUUUGAAUAAGUUUAGUUUGUCCAUACAAAAAGUAAUUAUUAUGUUUAUUUUUAUUUUGUUAUUUAGAUAAAGAAUCAAAAACUAAUAAGUUGAUAAAAAUCUAUUAAAACAUAGUUUCUCCCAAAAUUGGAUUAUAAGGAGAUGGUACAUUUAACUACUAAAAACUUAACCAUUGUAAUAGAAAGCCUUGCACUACAAGUGAAUUGCUAAUUAAGGUUAGUUGAAUCAUUGGAAUUCCAAUCAUUUGGAAGGUAGUGGGGAACAAACUUAUCUAAGUUUCAAGACUCCAUCAUAAUUCUUUGAACCUCGUAGUGGCUGUCAUUAGAGUGAUUACUAGUACAUCAUUAUAAGGGUAAAGUCUUCCAAUCACCAAGGGUUUGCCAGAUUUCUAUAAUAAGAUUGAUGGAUCUUUAAACUUCUAUACUCCUUAUGAUAAUCCCCUUCAAGCUCAGGUGGGUACGAGAAAUUUGAGACUUUACUUGACUUUUGGAAGACUUGAGCAUGUGGUGCAUUUAACCCUGAAAAUAUCACAUCUGCGUCCUUAGCUACUAAUCUAUAUUUUCUAUUUCUAUUUGCUAACUUGUUAAAUCAUGCCUGCUUGCCAUGUUGUGAUGUAGACUUGAGUAAAGUUUCAUUCUUAUCCACCAUCCUAGUAUUAUUGGUAAUGAGGCCUCCCAAGUUUUGCUCCAAACAUUUAUACUUGUUAGCUAUUGACAAUUACUACUCCAUACUUGCCAAAAUUAGAGUUAAGAGCAAUCAUACUUUAAAAGCUAUGCAUGCAAUGGUAUCAUCAUAAGUCUCUACUUGAACCAAAGUUGAACCAGAUCUCUUUGUGUUGUAAUAUGUGACUCAUAUUAAGUGAAAGACAUAGAAAAAAAAAGAAGAAAAAAAUGGCAAAUAUCAAAAAAAAAAAAAAAAAACAGAGUGGAAUGGAGCAGAGCGACGACAUUUGAUAUUCAAAAUUGUAUGUUUAUUGUUGGGGGUGUGAGGGCAUUUUGAAAUUUUAUUACUUGAUGAUUAGUAUAAAUACUUUUUUAAAUAACCCUAAUUUGAUACAUAGUGAAAGUCUUCUUCCAUAUUUUCGUGGACGUAGGCAAUCUGCCAAACUAUAUUAAAUCUAUGUGUUUUUUCUUUUUCCUUUUCUGUAAUUUUUAUCAUAAAUAUUAUACCUAAAUCAACACUUUACAUGUUCUACCAAACUCUCGCUAUCAACCAUCCUUUAAUUGAAAUGUGAAUCCCUCACCAAACGUAAAUAACACAUAUAUUAGGAAACAAACAUCAUACAUAACUUAAAAAAUGAAAAAAAAAAUUGCACUUAAUUGAUAAGUUAUGAAAUUACACAAAUGCUGACCUCCACAAACUUGAAAUUACACAUAAGGGCAUCAUUCAUGUGAACUAGAUUUAUCAACUAGUGAAAAUGUAUCCAGUGGUUAACAGAAUUCUCUAUCCCAUCAAAGAUUUGAAACUUCAAGAAAGCAAACCCAAAGGUCACCUCUCCUUCUAAAACAUAAGCAAAAAAUGACAGACGUUCUAUUAUAAUCAAUUUGGCAUUUAAGAAUAUUGCCCAAAGACUUUGUUGAAGAGUUUUGUCUUCCGUAUCUCCUUGUUCCCUAUGUUGAUGAAAUCAUAAACUCAAUUAAUGAAAGGCUCCCACAAUUAUAUUAUAUAACAUUUAUCAAACAAGUCUUCAAACCCAAAAUAUUAUUACAACAAGGGAUGAAUAAAAAAUUAAAAUAUUUAGUUAAAAGAGAUGAAAUAAUCCCAAAAUAAAAAAUCUAACAUUUCAUAUGUUUUUUCUGAAAAAAAAAAAAAGAAUGUUUUUGCCCAAAUAAUGUCAAAAAUUGAUGGAAUAUUUAAUUUUAAAAAUUAGGUUUUGAGAGCCCUUUUAACCAAAUAAACCUAAAAAAUUCAAACUCUUAUUCAAAAUUUUCUUAAUUCAUCUUUCGAGCUGCCAAAAUAUUUGACUCUACACACAUUCCAAUUUAAAGAGUUUGGUCAAUUCGGCCAAAUUGACAUUCAAUAAGAGAUCAUAUACUUUCAUUUUGUCAAUAAAAUGAAAACAAAUAUUUCACAUUCAUGCUAACAGUCGAUUAAUCGACAUCGAUUCAGAUCCUCCCGUUCCAUUGCCACACAAGGGCUCUGACAAUUUAGCUGCAAGCCAGGGAAAUCAAGAUCAUGCAAGUCAGAUAGGAGGACGUAGCAAGUCUUUUCCUGUUAAAAGAACUGCAGUUCUUAGCCAUUUGAAGACAUCAUCUACACAUCACAAACCCUAAACAAAACUAAGAAGAAGAAAAAAAAAAUUGACGAAAUUCAGAUGGUGAAUUUCGACAAAAACGGCAAUACUAUGGCCAAAGACGGCGUAAAUUCAAUUACAUGAAUCUUAACCACCGAACCCGUACAGAGUCCUUCCCUGCCUCUUAAGGGCGUAAACAACAUCCAUGGCGGUCACCGUCUUCCGCCUGGCGUGCUCAGUGUACGUCACAGCAUCGCGAAUAACGUUCUCCAAGAAGAUCUUCAAAACGCCUCUGGUCUCCUCGUAGAUCAACCCGCUGAUUCUCUUCACUCCACCUCUUCUCGCAAGACGCCGGAUAGCCGGCUUAGUGAUUCCCUGAAUGUUAUCACGGAGAACUUUCCGAUGACGCUUCGCUCCUCCCUUACCGAGCCCCUUGCCUCCUUUUCCACGACCUGACAUUGUACACUGCUAAUAAUUUGAGAGUCAGGGUUAGGGUUUUGAUUUGGCGAGGAAGAUGGUUUUUUUUUUGGGGUUUUGAUUUGGAAAUUUAAAGGGAAUUUUGGGGUUUGAAUUUAGGCGGGAUUAAUAACAGUCGUUCGAUUUUGGAUCUUAUCUGACGGUUGAGAGCUUCGAUCCGUGUCGCAUGGAUUGGACAAUUUUAAGGCGUUGAUAAGGUUUAGAUCAACGGCUAUAAAGCUGUUUAAGAUCGGUGACGUAGCUUGCGUUUUUAUGCCUCGCGGUUGCCGUGUCCCUUCUUAACAUUCCUAAAAUAAUAUUUUAUAGAUAUUGGAAAUUUUGUCUUACUUCACUUCAAUUGUUAUAAAUGAAAUCAAAUUUUAUUUCCACCUGAAUUUUUUUUUAUUCUAUUAUUUUUGCAAUGCAGUAGGCAAUUUGCAUUUAAGCAUAAAAAUAGAAAGUUGCACUCUUGCCUCACGAUUACUGCAUUAGAUUUAUUGUGAAACACCCAAUUUGUUUAAUAAAAUGACUAAGAGUUUGUUGAGAGCGGAGUGGUGAACAAAAACAACUUAUUCUAUUCCUGAUCUUCAAUUGCUUGUUUUAGAGCUUUUUUUUUUGAGGGAAACGCAAACAUCACAGGGUUAUUCCUUCUCAAUCUGAAAAGCAACCGAUUCAUGAAAAACAAAAGUUUCUACUUCCUCCCUAAUAGUCACUUCUCCUCCUCUUGUUCUUAGUUACAUAAAAGCAUCAAGAUCAACCAUUUUCUUGAAAAAAGGGAAUGGAAUAAGAUCCCGACAAAAAAAAAAAAAAGAUAUGGGAUGCAUGUCUAGUUCUCAUUGGAAAGGAAUCGGCCCUAAACAAGCUUUUGUCUCCCACCUGACACAAUUUGACAUUUGGUGAUACUUAAUUGGCUCAAAAUCUAUAGUUAUAAAAAGAAUAUCAAGAGAACAAGCACGUGGUAAAAAGUUAGCAUCUAAUCAGAUAAAUCAAAAGAUAAGAGUUCAACCAAACAUCUUUUCUUAAGGUAGGAUGUAAUUGUCGAGUGAUGAUUGUUUUAUCUUUUAAAGAGGGAGUUUCAUCACAUCAUGUAACUGAGUACAAAUAGACCAAUAAAAGACAAGUAGAAGCUAGUUAAAAACGAGUCAAUAUGGCUAAAUAGCGCCAAUGGGAUAUGUAAACGGGAAUCGAUCACAUGGUGAUGUAUUGGUCAAUUUUGAGCAAGGGCCUAAGGGAAUAUUUUUUAGUUAGGUAGAAAUAAGUUGGUUAAACCAGUAUUUUAACUCUUAAGUGCUUUCGUUCACUCUAACACUAAACGCUAUACCUUAACCUUAAAGCAAUGCUUUUGAAAGCAAUAUAUUAAGUAGGAUAUAGACCUUACAUAUUUUGGUAAGCUAUUUUGUAAAAAAGGAAAGUCUUAGGUGGUGUUUAUUUUUUUGUUGAAUAAAAAAAGUUAAAAUAUUUGAUUUUUUUUAUUUAACUAAAAGUAACGUAUUGACAUCAUUUAAUUAAAGUGAAUUUGUUAUCAAUAAGUUUAGUUUAAUCAUAUUGAAUGAUGUCAACAAGUUAUUUUUAGAUGAAUAGAAAAAGUCAAAUAUUUUAACUUUUUUUAUUCAAUCAAAAAACAAAUAUUACCUUAAUCUUUUAAGCUAAUCAAAGUUUGAGUAUUACUAGCAUAGUUCCAUUUCUCUCUCUUCAAUAUUUUCUGAAACUUAUUUCUAAAAAUCGUUUUCUAUUCUUUAAUUUAAAAGCGGUUUUUAAAAACAAGUAUAAGAAAAUAUGUCUAAUAAAAAACAUAUAAAAAUAACUUUUAUUUAUUAUCUAAAAAUUGUCUUUUAUUUCAUUUCAUUUUUAAAAAUUGUUUUUAGACAACAAUGAUAUUAAAAAAAAUCAAAUAGUUUUUUAUUUUCAAAAAUAAAAAACCAUUUUUAAAUCAUAUUACUAAACAUACUCUAAAAUGCAUUGUGAAAACAACUUAAAGGAAGAGCAAUUAAUUCUUUUUUAGCUUGUUAUUUUUAUUGUACUUUUGAAUUUCCUAUCUGAAAUUAAUGCAAAUUCCAAAAAUUUUAUAACAUUGAAUUUAGGAUAUUUAAUUUCAAAUUUAUUUAUAAAUAUAAUUUUCUUUUCCAGAUUUAAAUAUCUACUAACCAAAUCAUGUUCUUUGUAUAAGUGACAAAUUCCCUUUUUUUCUUUUUUACCAAACUAAACGCUUCAUUGUAGUUAUUAAUAUCACAAUGAAAGCCAUGAUCUUCUUUCAUUCUUACACCAACCCUAAAUAUUAAUAAGAAUUCCUCUCAUAUUCUAACCAGUGAUCAAAAGAAUAAUAUUUUGAUUAUUUACAAGAAAAUUUUGAGGAUAUUAUUCUCAAGAAUAAAUAAUUUUUAAAUAAAAAAAUGGUAAAAAUUUAGAUUUACAAAUAGAUGAUGAUUACAUCUUUUGAUCAAAUACUUUACUUUUACCCGUACAUGGGCGAGAAGACAAACUGCGGAUAAAACGACACCGUAUACUAAAUUCCUUCGCCUGCCUGCCUGCCGUUUCUCAGUGACCAAACAGAAAAAAAGAAAUACCCCAAUAAAGCGCAAACAAAAUUUCUCCGUUUUUGAGAACCUUGAAACAAAGAUGUUAACAGUCGAUUCAACCGAUAUGGUUUCAGCUCCUCCUUCCCUGUCCUCACAGGGGGAUCUAAAAAUUUUAGCAGCAAUUUAACAAAUCAAAGUCAUGUAAGCCAUGAGAUUGGAGAACAUAUCUAUUUCCAUUAAAACGAAAGCAAGUCUUUUCUCGUUCAAAGAACCGCGGUUCUUAACCAUUUCAAGACAUCAUCUACACAGCAGGAACCUUAAAAGAUCUAAGAAACAAAUAGCGAAAUUUCAGAGAAUGGAUUUCGCAAUAAAGGCCAAUACAGAGGCCAAAAGUGGCGUCAAUCCUAUUACACGAAUCUCAACCACCAAACCCGUAUAGAGUCCUUCCCUGCCUCUUGAGGGCGUAAACCACAUCCAUGGCGGUCACCGUCUUCCGCCUAGCGUGCUCAGUGUAAGUCACAGCAUCACGGAUGACGUUCUCCAAGAAGAUCUUCAGAACGCCUCUGGUCUCCUCGUAGAUCAACCCACUGAUUCUCUUCACCCCACCUCUUCUAGCCAGACGCCGGAUCGCCGGCUUCGUGAUGCCCUGAAUGUUAUCACGGAGAACUUUCCGAUGACGCUUUGCUCCUCCCUUGCCGAGCCCCUUGCCUCCUUUACCACGACCCGACAUCGUUCACAGCUAGUACUCUUAGGGUAAGGAUUUUGAUUUGGUGAGGAAGAUGAAGACUGAAGGAUGGGGUUGUAAAUUUAAAGGGAAUUUUGGGGUUUGAAUUUGGGCGGGAUUAAUGUCGGUCGUUCGAUUUUGGAUCUAAUCUGACGGCUGAGGGGAUCGAUCCGUGUGGCGUGGCUUCGACAAUUUUAAGACGUUGAUAAGGUAUAGAUCGACGGCUUGGAAGUUUUUUAAGAUCGGUGACGUUGCUUGGCUUUUUAUCGCCUGUGCAGUCCUGGCGGGGUUCUGGACGGUGUAAAUUUUUCACAUAUUUGUGUACUUGAAUUCUCCGACAAAUUUAAUUACUUUUAUUUAAAAAAAUAAUUAUCAAUUACAAAAAUUAAAUAUAUAAUUUUAUUGAUAAAAGAGUCUUAGCAAGACAAAAUUAUUUUUGUUUAUAUUUUGUAGAUGGUCCUCUUUUGACUUGGAAAAAAAAUCUUUAAAUAUUAAAGAAAAAUAAAACCUAAUAAGCAUACAAAAUAUAAUAUUUUAUUUUAAAUAAUUUAAAAUUUAAAAUUUUGGAUUCAGAUUUUUUGUUUAUUUUUUUAAAAUAUUGCAAGACAACCCUAAAUUACCAUUUAUUUACAUAAACGAAGAAUGUCUCCUAUGUUUAAAAAUCUUAUGAAGAGUUAGAAAUUAGAGAUAAGGCAUUUGAUGAGUUUGAAUAAAAAAAUUUAGUGUUUUUUUCAAUAAUGCAACAAGAUUUUUUCGUUUAAGAAGGAUAAUAGAGAAUUGUUUGUCUCACAAUUCUUUUCUUGUUAAAUUUUUUUAUAUUGGAAUUGGGUUUGGAUGUCAAAAUAGACUCAUCCAACCUAAUAAAUGACAGAAAUAAGGAGAGUUUUAAGAAUUUUUAAAAUUACCUAAAAUUUUCACUAUCAAAUUAACAAAAAAAAAAUGUUACCUUUUAUGUCUUUCUCUCUCUUGAAGAAGUGUCUCUCCAACAAAACACCAAAAAAGAUAAAUAUGUUUAUUUUUUUUCCCUUCUUUUCUUAGAUAUAAAAGAAACAUACAUUCUUUUUUUUAAAUAGAAAAAAAUAUGAAAAUUUUCAUGUUUUUCUCCAUAAAAACAAAGGUCAAGACUUUUAUGUUGUGAGAAGAAAAUAACGGUUCUCAUAUUCGUAAUUUUAUUUAUAACUUAAGAUAAAAAAAAAUUAGUCAAUAAAAUAACCAAUUGAGAUUCUUUGGUAUUUCAAAAUAUAUCAACAACCUUAUUUUUCAUCACUGUGGCAUUAUAAUAUCAACUGUGACAGGAAGGUAUGCUUCUGGGCAAGGGAUUUGAGAGAAAGCUAGCUUCGUCUAACUUGGACACUCACCCUCGGAGAGACACCGCCUUUGCCUUACAAGUUGAGAAUGGUAAUGAGUCCGAGUGAAGAUACAACCAUUUCAAACGUGGUAAAUAUGAGUUAACAAAUAAGUUAUAAUGUGUCCCACGUCCAAUGGAAAGAAGUUCUUUACACUCAUGGGUAGUUUUGUAAUAUUUUACAUAAAACAGAAAAAGAAAUUCCUUACACUUAGGUGCUUUUUAAUUGAUAGACAUUUUUAAAGUCAUAAAAUCCCAUUAGAUUUAAAGUAAAUAAUAUUUAUUCAAGAAAGAGUGAGUUAUUAUAAGAUAAUAUCCAUUGAUCAUAAUGUGAAAUUUAAUUUAUCAAACUUAUUAAUUUUAUGGGAUAUCAUAAGGACAUUGUAUUUAUACGAAGACUAUUGAAAUAUCUUAUAUCAAACAAAUAAAGAAAUUUAUAACAUUAUGUGUAGUAAACUCUUUAUAAUCAUAUCCAAAUGAAUGUAAUCCACGUUUCCAACAUCAUAAUAUCCAACUAAGAUAUAUACCAUGGUUUUAAAAAUCGGACUAAUCGGUUAAUUGGGCAAGAAAUAGGUUGAACUGGAAUCAAACCGAUUGAACCGACGAUUUGACCAGCAAACUAGACAAACUAGUCGGUUCCAUCUAAACCGGACAAUUCAAUUACUAUUAUUAUUAUUUUUUUUUCAUUUUUAUAGUAUUAAAAGGAUGCCAUUUUGGAGGAUAUAAAAACACCUUCAACCCUCCUUCUCCAUCUGCAUCGAAAGUGAAAAAGUUGUCACCCCCAAUGCAUUGCAACACCAACACCAGCUCUCACCGGAGGUCUCCCCAACCAUUACACAACCUAACUCGGUGCAAAACCUAUUGCAACCAUCCCCCCUCUUCUUCACCCCGCUGCAACAAUCCCCUCUCUUCUUCCCCCCACUACAAAGCCCCCUCUCAGCGCAGCAAACCCCCGACGCCCCAAACUCAUUGCAACCAUCCCCUUAUUGCAAAGCCCCCUGGUGAUCAAAGCGCCCCUCCGAAAAACCCAUCUAUGUGCAUUGUGAGCCUUCAUAAUUUUAAUGUAUUUUAUUAUUAUUAUUAUGAUAUUAUGUUUAAUAUUCCAUUUUUAUAGAUUUUUCCUUUUUUUUGUUUAUUUAUUAAUCUUCAUAACAACAUUACAAUUUUAAAUAAUUUUUUUAUUUUAAAACAAGUUUUUUAUUUAAAAAUAAAUAUUAAAAUUAUUGUUUUAAUUUAAAUUUUUAAUUUGAAACUAAUUUUAUGAUUUUUAAACAAAAUUUUAAUUUUAAAAUAAUAUAUAAAUUAGUAUUUUAAUUUUUAUAAUUAUUUUAAAUUUUAAUAAUUUAUAAAUUAUAUAUUUAUGAUAUCACCGAUUUGACCAUGACCAAUGAACCAUGAACCAAUAACUUUUCCGAUUCAAUGAUUAAUCUAAUUAUAAAAACAUUAAAAUAUACUAUAUGUCCCAUAUACAAAUUCCUAGUCUAUUAGUUUCAACUUUCAACACUCAUGAGAGCAGUUGUAAAGACCAGUAGAACCAUGGUUAGUUUAUAUUGCUUGUAAAUAUGUAUAUGUGAAACCUAAUUCAACGAGGGUGGUUCUUAUUCUUUUCUAAUUUGAUGAGGGGUGGAGAAUAAUGAUUUGAAUUUUAUGGUCAUUUUGGUCUCAAUUCCAGGUUCCCAAUUAAUUAAAUUGCUUACCAGUUGUUGGGGAAGAAAUGGACACACCAUUGAAUUUUGAUCCAAAGCCCGAGCCUAGGCUCUGUGCUUAGAGGACCAAUCUCAGAGAUCUAAAUAUGGGAAAAGAGAAACCAAACAGGGCCUAAUCCCACUCAAAGCCUUAAUUGUUAGGUUCCAAUUAGGAGGAAUAGCCCAAAAUCAUCUACUUGCCUAGAUCUUAAACAUCAAUGUAGGACCAUGAUGAUAUGAAACGAUAAUCUCUUCUUCUUGAUAAAUCUACUCCAGAUUUCCACGCCCUCAAGGUAACACUGUGGAUCAUAUGCUAAUUUUCUCUAAGGUUUCCGGGAAGAUGGUAAUAUGAAACAAUAGUUUUAGCAAUUCUCAUAUAACAAUCUCCAUUGUUGCCAUAAAUAGCAUACAUGCAAUCUAUUACAGCCAGUAAUAGCUACUGAUUGAGACAAGAAAUGGCAAAACUCAGAAGCUGGAUUUCAACCAAAAACGAAAAAGAGAGGCCCAAAAAGAAUGAAAUUUAUCAGCCACCGAAGCCGUAAAGAGUCCUUCCCUGCCUUUUGAGGGCGUAAACCACGUCCAUGGCGGUCACGGUCUUCCUCCUGGCGUGCUCAGUGUACGUCACCGCAUCGCGAAUCACGUUCUCCAAAAAUAUCUUCAGAACGCCUCUGGUUUCUUCGUAGAUCAGCCCACUGAUUCUCUUCACACCUCCUCUCCUAGCCAAUCUUCUUAUCGCCGGCUUAGUGAUACCCUGAAUGUUGUCCCGGAGAACUUUCCGAUGCCGCUUUGCUCCUCCCUUGCCCAGCCCUUUGCCUCCCUUUCCACGGCCUGACAUCGUUCGCAGCUGUAAAUUACUAGGAUGAGGGUUAAAAUCUUGAUUUGGAUUGGAAGGUACAGGGUGGAGUUGAAAAUUUAUAAGAAAAUUUCGGGGUUCGAAUUUGGGCGGGAUUAAUGGCGGUUGUUAGAUUUGCAUUUGAUCUGACGGCUUAGAGGUUCGAUCCAUGUAGCGUUGUUUGGAAGAUUCUAAGACGUUGAUAAGGAGAAGAUCGACGGCUCUUGUGUUGUUUAAGAUCGGUGACGUUGCUUAUGUCUCCGCUGCCACGUGCCUAGCAAAAGGAGGUGGAUUUUCCAUUUCUUAGCCGCGUAAGUUAGAACCUUUUUCAAUACUCUCAAUUUUGUUGGAUUUAUUUCAAUGGUAAAUUGGUAAUUCACUUUUUGCACAACGACAAUUCAAAAUAAUUAUAAUAAAACAUCAAUUUAAUUAAUGAAUUGAAUUUAUAUGUGAUGAAAUAAAAUAUAAUCAAUUGAAUACAAUAUGCAUAGCUUAUAUCAUGUGACACAAUUUGUCUUCUGACAUUAUGUCCAGUGUCCACGGUCUAAUCACAUUCAAGACAUCACACUCAUACUUGCACUCUAAUAAGGCUCAUUGUCAUACAUUACUCUUGCUGUAACAUAAUAGUUGUCAAUAUGGGACUAUUGGAAUCAAACAUAGCCCAAAACUUAAUAAUUACAAAAAAAUAUAGCUUGAUAAUUUAAAACUAAUGAACCAGAUCUAAUUAAAGCAUCUUAUGUAGUUUUUAAACAAAGCAAAAUAAUCAACACAUAAGUUUGUAAAUUUUAAUGAUAAUAAAAUUUUACUUACAAUAAUUGUUACUGAUAACUUUGAACGAACAAAUUGGGAUAUUUGAUAUAAUGAUACAAAAUAAAAAAGUAAAAAAAAAUAUUUUUAGUCUUUUUUGUCUAUGUCUUCUUUGUCAAUUUGGAUAUUCUUGUAUAGAUAUGAAGAGAAGGAUUUCAAACCUUUUUCAAGUUGAUAUUUUGAAUAUUGAAAAUCAUUUAUAAAAAUGGUUACGUUAUUUAAGGUCAUGUGAAAAGAGUGUCGAUAAUUAUUUAUUUAUAUCUUAUCAAAUUCGUCUUUAGAGUUCUGGGGAAAAAUUGUCAGUAAUUAUCUACUUAUUAAAUUUGUCUUUGACUUGAAUUAUUAAAUUGAGUUUCAGUAUCUUACUAACGAAGCAAUUGUUAUGAAGUAUCCCAAAUUCCUAAUUAGUAUGAAUUCUUUUUUUGUAAAUAAUAUUAUAUAUAAAAUAUUUAUAGGUUGAUAUAUUAUUGUAAUAUUAGACUUCCUUAUAGAAUGAGGAAGGUUGUUGGAAAUAUAUCUGUAAAUAUUCUAGGUCAUGAAAUGAAGAUGAACAUGUAGAGACUAUACGGGGUGGAUAGAAAUAUGCGGACUAUACGGGGUGGAUAGAAAUAUGCGGAAGAACAAGAGGUACUCUGUGGAGCAAGAGGGCUCGUAGUAGGGUAUGGAUACAAGUAGUGGGGAAACAUGUGAUGUUUCGGGAACCCAAUAGUUGUAUUUGGUUAUGUCCUCUGUAAUAUUUUCUAUUAUAUAGUGGAAUCAUUCUCUCUCAUCCGUGGACGUAGGCAUGGUUGGCCACACAUUAAAACCCCAUGUACCGUAUGUGUGAUUGUUUUAUCUUUGUAUUAUUGAACUAACAUUGUUGACAUUAAAGCUUUUGCUGGCAUAACAAUCGGUAUAAGAGCUUGGGUUAAAGAUUUAUGGAAGAGUAAAAGAUCACAAAGCACACAAGAUGAAAACAAAAGGAAUUUUCACUAAAGGUGGAGUUGAUUGCUCUUUUCAUGGUGAUAUGAUACAAAAAUGUUUGUGUGAUGGAGAGAUUGAAGAUUAACUUCAUGAAUUUGGUCCAAGGUGGAGAUUGUUAGGAAGUGCCCCAAAUUCCUAAUCAGUAUGGAUUCUUUUUUUGUAAAUAAUAUUAUAUAUAAAAUAUUUAUAGGUUGAUAUAUUAUUGUAAUAUUAGACUUUCUUAUAGAAUAAGAAAGGUUGUUGGAAAUAUCUCUAUAAAUAUUAUAAGUUAUGAGGGGAAAAAGUUAUGAGAUGGAGAUGGACUUGUAGAGACUAUACGGGGUGGAUAGAGAUGUGAGGAAGAACGGGAGGUACUCCAUGGAGCGAGAUGGCUCGUAGUAGGGUAUGGAUACAAGGAGUGGGAAAACAUGUGAUGUUUCGGGAACCCAAUAGUUGUAUUUGGUUAUGUCCUCUAUAAUAUUCUAUAUUGUAUAGUGAAAUCAUUCUCUCUCAUUCGUGGACGUAGGCAUGGUUGGCCGAACUACAUUAAAACCCCGUGUACCGUAUGUGUGAUUGUUUUAUCUUUGUAUUCUUUAACUAACAUUGUUGGCAUCAAAGCUUUCGCUGACAAAACAACAAUUAGUAUUAUUAUUGAGUCAUGUCUUGUAAAUAAAUCUUCAACUUUGUUGAUAACAAUCAUGUUGUUUAAUCGUUUUUUUUUUAAAAAAAAAAUUGUCUUGUAUUAUUGAUGGUUGAACUAUCUUAUAUGGACAGAGAUGGUCAAGAGCAUUAGGAUGAACUAAUACUCCCAUUGGAAAAGUUAAAGGAUUGGUGAUCGACCUCUAUAUAUAUACACGAAUAAAUACAUUUUAAUCGAUUUAUGUAUAUUAAAAUUUUAUCAAAUUAUAUAUUACAACUAUGAAAAGCAUCAUAAUAAUAUCCUAAAAAAGUACUCAUAUUAUAUUUUUAAUUUUAAUUUUUUUCUAAUAUUUCUACCAUUUUUUAUUAAUUUAGUUUCACUAUUAUAUUUUUUUUAAUGGAUUUUCAUCCAACAUUUCCAUAAAAAUUGAAUUGUUGAUAUUUUUCAUAUUUUAUAAUAUGUUUAUCAUUACAUUUAAUAAUUGUAUGUGUUUACCUAAAUAUGCAAUUUAGGGCCUAUUAAAUUUCCAAUAAAUUCCACUUAAGGCAUGUUUUUAUUGAAAAUUCUACUUCAAAGUAACAAACACUCAUACCAAUUUUACCUUGUGAAUGGAAACCUUAGAAAUUAUAGAAACGUAAUAAUUUAGUAAUUUCCUUUUUAACCAUUCAUAAUAUUCCUAAUUAUUUUUUUAAUGAGAAAUUAUAAUUAUUUAGGAUGCAUUAUAUUCUAUUUAACUACUUUGGACUUGUAAUGAUAUAUAUUAUUUUUUUAUUGAAAGAAAUUUUCAGUUUUUAUUUAUCCACAACUAUUUCACCUACAAUUUUCGAUGUACCUCAAAAACACCAUUCUCGUUCUCCUCUUCCACAUUUAUCUUCGUUUUUUUUUCUAUCUCAACUUUUUUCUUCUCGAUCACAAACCCUAAGAGAAAACCAUUGUCUAAACCUUGUUUGAUAACAAAAAGGCAUUCAAGGUAUGUUCAAAGUCGAUCAUACUUUUUUUAUACAUUUUGUUUAAAUACAUAUAACAUAACACAUAAAUAUCUUUUAGAGUUUGUUCUUUAUAUAAGUUUGACAUAAAAAUUGUUACAAAAAAUAGUUAAAAAACAAUUUUGAAAAUAUAUAAAUAUAAUGUAGAAGUGAAAAUUUGUGAGGAAAGUGCAACAAUAAUUUUUCUUUUUUUAAAAAAAACUCAUCAUGUGGUAUCUAGACUUGGAAUGUCAAGCAUUCCAAAAAUGUUUGGACUUGGUAUAUCGAACAUCAAGAAAGAAAGAGUUUGAACGUAUAAGGGCGAACAAUAUUCAAUUGUUCGAACUUAGUGUGUUAGACACUCGGGAGGAUCUAAUGCCACCAUGGAAGUUUUCUUUCUCAACAUGUCGUACCUCAAGGCUACAUGUCAAGCCUCAAUGACUAAUACUCCCUUAAGUUCACUAACCAAUCUAAUUAUUUGUUUUCUUAAUUUUAUUUCACAAGUCAACUUGCAUGAUUUUUAUUUUAAGGUCACAAGAGUAUUUUUAUUUAUUUUUUCAAUGCUUUUUGUUAUUUUAAUUUGAAAUUUUUUAUUAUAUUUAUAUAUAUUGAGAGUACAUCAAUGCAUAUUCAAUCUAGAGCAUCGGUUAGGAGAUGUGCUUGCUCUCUUCAACUUAGUAUGUGAACUUUUCGCCUUAUUUAAUAGUGGAGAACAUUUGAACUUAAUAUAUAACAUGUUAAAAAACAUGAUGCUAAAAAAAAAAAAUUGUUAUAAAUACUUAUACCUAUUCAUUGUUUCUACCUUUCCUUUGGCUCAAAAUGUUUCUUACUUUAUGUAAUAAUGUUUUUUGAUAUAUGUCACUUACAUAGAAGAUGUGAGGAGGUUGCGAACACAUUAUAUAAUGCAUUUAUAUACAAAAGUAAUAGUAAAUGUCUUAUUUGUCGAUAUUACACCAAUUAUGUCAAGUAAAGACAUCUAAUAUCUUUUCCUCUUGGAAAUACAAUCCAUGAUAGACACAAUUGGAAGUGUUAGCAAUAUAUCAAUGGAUGUGCAAAUGUCAAGUCUCUAAUACAAUUAUUUUGUUUAUCCCACCAAAGUCAUUCGACGUAGUUCAACUCCAUUAAUUUAUGCAUCUUUUGUUGCAUUUGCGAGUGCCUAUCAUAUUCAUUUGCUUUGUGUUUAUAUUUUGCAUUAUAUAUUGUCUUCGUCAUGCUAUAAUACAAUGCAUCCGUUUUGUUUCAAAAUAUUUAAUAUCUCUUUCGACUUAUUGUUACCUUUUGACAUUCCAAUUAAAAUACUUAUUUUUUCUUGACUUAAAUGAUCGACAAAAGAAUGUUCUUCAAAAUAUUGUGCUCCCGCCAAUGUGAUUAUGUCUUUCAUAUUUAAUAACCAAUAUUCAAUCAUCAUCAAUUGGUAGCUCCACACUCUUAAGAGUAAAUGUACAUCUAUAUUUCUUUGUCCUUUUCAAUCCUUAUUUCCGGUUAUUUUUACUCUCAUAUUUGAUAUCGACCUUCAUCGAACUUCUUUUUACCCCACUUCUUUCACAAGUAAAAGUAAUUUCAGAUUUUUAUCCAUAAAGUCCCCAUGCGUCUCUUUUACCAUUUAUAAUAAUCAUUCCAUCAAUUUUAUCGAUCUCUCAUAAAGGUUUGAUCAAUCCUUCCCUAUUAUAAUGGAUGAUAUUGAUUGUGAAGAUAAUUAUAUUGUCUAUUAUUAUCAGAGCUUAUAACAUAGAUGUAUCAUCCAAUAUAAAAAUUUUAAUAAAAUUUAUUUGAUUUUUAAUAAAAAAGUUGUUCGAAUGUAUAGUGUCAAAAAUGCUUAUAGGUGUUUAGCAUUGUACCUUUGAACAUUUUUGGAAUAUUUAGAAUUAUACUUUCAAACACAAAUUAGGGUGUCCAAAAGUAUAAAUCUAAAUGUCUACGAGAGCGUUUCAAAUGUAUAGUUCUGAACUUUUUAAGGAUGUUUUAAAGCAUAGUGUUGAACAAUUAUAAGAGAUCCUACAACUUUGAAUAUCAUUCAUGACACCUUAUUUCAACCCUAGAAAUACGAAAAAAAAAAUAAAAAAUAUUAUAAAAGACAUGCUUUCCACCAUUGGAGGUGAUUAUUUGCUUAUCUAUUGGUGAAAAAUAAAACCUUUUUGAUAAAAUUUGUUAGAAUUGUAAAAAAAUUUAGAAGAGAAAAAAAUGAAGUAGAAGGAAAUGAAUGUGUAUUUAUGAUUAAAGAUGGUUUAGGGAUUUCAUUAAGGACAUUUUUAUCCUAACAAUAUUUAUUGUUGUGAUCGAUUGCAAAGAUCAAUUCAGAUGAUGUAAGUGUAAGGUAUGUUUGAUAACUAUUUUUGAUGUCUGUAUUCUAUUUUUCAAAAUAAAAAAAUAAGAAAACACAUUUUACUAGUCAAAAAUUUGUUUUUUGUUUUCUAUUAUUAAAAAUAGAAAAUAUGAUCAUUUUAGAGAAUGUAUUUUAAUUAUUUUUAUUUAUCUUUUGAAAAAUAAUCAUAUAAAAUCAUCAAAAGUAAAAUAUUAAAUAUAAAAAAUCAUUUUUAAAAUAUAUUUAAAAAUAUAAAAAAUAAGUUAGAAACAUUUUAGGUUUGUAAAUAGGACGUUUGUUCAACAAAAGAUUAUAAAAUGGUUUUUGGAAAUUGUUUUCACAAACUGUUUUUCUGUUUUCAAAAACAGUGACAAAGAGGACCAUAAUUUCCCAUGAAUUAAUUAUGAUUACAGGAAUGCCCUUCGGAAUUUCCAAAAAGACAGACCCUCAAAUAUCUCAUCCCCAACGAAGGAGCCAGAGGGUAGAGUUGCGUCUGCUCUGAGCAGUGAAGAAAUGGCUGCGGUGAGGGUGCACAGCUCCAUUCAGAGCAGCCUCUGCAUCUUAUCACACCCUUUGUACUCAACAAGUCGUCAUCUCAAAACGCGUCUUCAUUUUCCUCGACCCCUUUUCUCAUCUCCAUCCUUUUCUUCUGGAAGAGCCUUGUUUUGCAGUUGCAGAGCUGAUAAUUUUAAGGGCAGUGAACGAGAAGUUUCAGAUUCUUUCGUCCUCACGACUCCGCUUUAUUACGUAAAUGCCCCUCCCCACAUGGGAAGUGCCUACACCACUAUUGCUGCUGACGCCAUUGCUCGAUUUCAGGUACCCUGUUGUUUGAUUUCUUUUGAUUGUAUUCGGCUUCGUGGAAGGGAUGAUUGUUAUUUUGUUAACAUUUGUUUGGUUGGUGAGAAAGCGGAGAAAAAAUUGGGAUGUUUAUUGUUUUAUCUUGCUUGGGUUUCUUGUAUCCUCCUUGAGAAAGAAAGGGAAAACCUGAAUUGGGCAUAGUUGGAUUGAGGCCAUUAACUUGUGGGUUUUCAAAUGAUGAGAAGUUUAAAGCUGAUAGUUUUAGUUUGCCUUAUUUUCCCACGUUUUCUUAGCAGCCCAAUGGUUUCGAAUUAUAUUUGAAUUCAGCGUGGUAGUUUUUGGUUGCAUAGAGUUGGGAAAGAUGGAUUUGGAAUUCAAUUCUUAUGCCACAGGCCCCAAAUCCAGAAAAAAAUAAAAAAUAAAAUCAACUGCCAAAGGUGAGAUUUUUGAACCGUUGAGCACAACAGGCUUGGAAUUCCACCCCAAAAUCCCACUAUGCAGAAGCAAACCAAAUGCAGCGUAGUAGUUGAAUUCAUUCCAGUUUCAGAUUUUUGUAAUCGGGAUUGUUACCAACAAUUAUUUGCUGCUAACAUGAAAGAAAAAUUUUCAUCUAGACCUUAGGAAUAGAAGGGAAUAAUCAGUAUGUACAUUUGGUUUUUAUAGCUAUAGUUGAGCAAUUUUACUGGCCUGCUCUAUGAUGAAGGAGGCUAAUUCUUAUUGAUGAUUUCUUCUGGCAGAGGCUAUCAGGAAAGAAAGUUAUAUUCAUAACUGGCACAGAUGAGCAUGGGGAGAAGAUUGCCACUGCCGCCGCCGCCUGUGGUUCCAGCCCAAGUGAACACUGUGAUGUCAUUUCACAAGCUUACAAGACGCUUUGGCAAGAUGUAUUUUUCCUUGCUAUGGGAAUUCACUAAGCUUACAAUAACUGAUGCUAUCAAUGACCUAAUUGCUUGACUCAUGUUCUAUGUGGUGAUUUCAUUCUUUUACUUGCUGAUUCCAGUUAGAUAUAGCCUACGACAAGUUUAUUCGGACAACUAAUCCUAAGCAUGAAGCAAUUGUAAAGGAGUUCUACUCAAGGGUUCUUGCCAAUGGUGAUAUUUAUCGGGCUGAUUAUGAAGGACUUUAUUGCAUCAAUUGUGAAGAGUAUAAGGUGGUACCUUGCAUUUGGAGUAGCAAUUCUGGAUGUAGUAAUAAUCUCUUGUUUUGAUGAGCAUUCCUUUUAUGAAGCCUAAAGUUAGUUGUAUGGAUAACUGAUGGUGUCCAAGCUCAUGUCUUCAAGGACAUACUUCUUCUUUGAGGAUGGCCAUAGAAUUUUAGACUGUCAAGAUCAAUUGGUUUGACUUUUCUUUAGCAGUGUCAUUCAAAUGUAGUGUGGCAUGCCCAUGUCUGGGUUUAUUAUGUUGAUUUUUGCCAUCCUCUUCGUGGUCUGUUAAGUUCAGGGUCCUCUUGAUGAAACUUAGGUUUAACAUACUGCAUAUAGUUGUGCAUAUAUAAUAAUAAUAAAAUGGUAAUUUUUCUUUUGCUGGUUCUGUUUUUCUAAGACUGAAAUUCACCUGCACACUCAUUAGAAUUUGAAGAGAUACUCAUUGAGUGGUUUGUUUUUGUCUAUGCAUUUUAUACCCCCUUCCCGUUUUUCCUUUUCAGUUUUAAAUAGUGUAUGCAUGCAUGGUUUGCUUCUCCCCCCUCCCCCCCCCCCCCUUUUUCAAAUGAAGUACUUGUCUAAUAUUGUUAAUUCGAAAAAACUGCAGGAUGAGAAGGAAUUGCUGGAAAAUAACUGUUGCCCUAUGCACUUAAAGCCAUGUGUUUUGAGGAAAGAAGAUAACUACUUCUUUGCCCUGUCAAAGUAUCAAAAAUUGUUGGAAGAAACUUUAACACAAAAUCCAGAUUUUGUGCAGCCUUCUUUCCGUUUAAAUGAGGUGAGACAAUGAUGAUUUUUUUCUUCUUUUAAUGGUAUUCUGGCCUUUCUGUUUCAUUUUUGAGUACCUUAAUUCCUAUAGCUUUCAAUGAACUUUAUCCCAGAAAUUUAUAUAAUGAAUGUAUUCAUUAUCACUGGUGCUUAAUUAUGAUUUAAAAAGACAAAUCCUUAUUUUAGAAUCUGACAAGCUGACUUUUCUAAUUGCCACAUUAGGCGUAUGUUGUAGUAAUCUAUAACUUGAAUAUUUACAACUAGAGAAGAACAUGAAAUCAUAUGCGUGUUUUCUUAAAUAUAUACACUUCAAUGAGUUUCUACUUGCUGAACUCUUGAGGUCCUUUUUCAAUAGCACAACUUGGUAUCUUCCCUCCCUCCAAAGGAAGGGGAAUAAUUGAUCUUAGUCAUGGUGGUCUUGUAUGAAUUGGCAUUGGUUGAUACUCCGUGACACGCAAAAAUAAUGUAUGAAAAAUUGGAGAUAAUCAUGAGAGGAAAAGAAAUGGUUAAACAUACAUAUUGGAACAACAAAAUCAAUAAAAAGAUAUUUUGCUUUUAUCAAAAAGAAAGAGAAAGAAGAAGAGAAAAUCAUUUUGAAACUUUCUUUUCUUCAAAGGCAACAAUUAUUAUGAUUUUUUCUUUUUUGGUUACUCCUGAUUUUAGGAAUUACCAUUAUCUUAAUUUAGUUUUACAAAUGAUUUAGGAUACUAUAACAAGAUUAUCUAUUUGAUCGGCGCAUAUAGGUUAUGUAUUGGCUGAGACAUGUUAGUUUUUUAUGAUACAUAUUUUCACUUGUGAAUUUGUUAUAUCAUUCCUGAAAUAAAUAACAUAUUAUCUGAAUGUUUGUAUACACUACAUCUCAUAUAUAGUGCCAAAAUUUAUUUUUUAAUAUAUAUAUUAUCCACAUAAACCUCACAAAAUUUCAGAAUUACAAAUCCUCCUAGGCUCAUAUAUAACACUCCCUUGAAGCUAAGUGCUUCUUUGGCAACAUUUUUAAAAAUAGUUAUCAAAAAAAUAGUUUUUUUAGAGCAAUUCUCAAUAUUAGUUUUUAAUUGUUUUUAGGAACAAACUUUUAUUUGGAAACUUAAAUAUGAAAAAUAGUUUUCUCGAUUUAUUCUUCAUGAAUGAUUGUGAACUUAUGUACAAUGCAAAAACUUUUGAAUUAUUCUUCAUGAUUUUAAUGGUUGGUCAGAACACGAUGUAAAAAACAACUGAAAAUAUCCUAAAUUUCUUGAAAAAAAACCUGUUUUCAGAACAAAUUUAAAAAAAAAAAGUUUUUUUCUAUAAGUUUGUUAAAUGUAUUUUCUGGGUUAGAAAAUGGUAUUUUCUUCUACAUAGUAGAAAAUUGUUUUCAAGAAUAGUUUUCAAACAAACCCUAAACUUCAACCCUCCAAAAUAGAGAUAGAAAGUGAUGACUUUCACUUGCAAUGUUUUACACUACAAUAUUGUUUUUCACGCUUCUAUAGAGACUUUUAAAGUUCUCUACUUUUAGGCUAAAAAGAGAGUAUGUAGCAUGAGAUUUGUAGGGAUCCCUCUCACUAGAAAAAUCAAGAGACAUGCUUAUUCAUAAUAGAUGUGUUCAUUUUAGAAUUCAUAUUCAUGAACUGAUACAUUAACAACUCUAUUAACUUUCUUUUCAAGAUUAUUGAAUCCUAAUAGGAUAUAGUAACUUCGUUCUCAAGUUACAUGAGAGGAUAUUUUUCCCUUUAGGUUUCAUGAAUCUUAUAAAAGAAAUCACAGAUCAUUUGAAAAUGAGGAACACAAGGAUCAAGCACUCAAAUGAUUUUUUCUUUGUACUCUUUUGAUGUGGUAGAGAUACAUAAGUGGGAUGUAUAACUCAAAGGCAAAUUUUGUAAAUCGGUUGGGUACUUGCAAAGGGAGGGAAUGGUUUUUGUUGCUCCCUUCUUUCUUUUGCUGUUUAGCUCCUUUUUAGUUGUUAUACACCUUGUAAACUUUGGUGUGCUUCUUUGCUAGACAUUGAUAAUAAUAUUUUUGCUUAUGUAUCAAAAAAAAAGUUUCAUGAAUCCUACAAUAUGAUACAUUAAGUAGGAUUGAAACCAUGAAAACUUUUUUCAAAUUAAUUUAUUCCUAUAAUAGGAUUUAUGAAUUAGCAUUAAGAGUCAGUAAUAGGAUAGUUAAAUUCCUAUUCUCAAGAUUUAAAUCAUAGUAGUUGAACUAUUCAAUUAUAGGCAUGAUUUCGAUAAAAUGUAACCUAUGGACAAAACGUGUUACUUUAACAUGAUAUCAAUAAUCAUACCUAUAAUUUGCAUGUAAUAGCACAACUGAUUUUAUUAGUAAAAUAUAUGACUUAUUGGCUUUGUAAGACGCGCAUUUCUAUCACUAGUGUAUAACAUUGAGGUGGAUACAUUUUGAUGUUGGCUUAUAUCAAUAAUGGCUCCCAGUCUCAAGCUGUGUGACACCCUAGAUGCUGCUUUUUUUUUUGUUGGAAAUUAGAAAUAGUUGGGCCCUUUCAUGCUCCCAUUUGGUGACCCUUGAUUCCAUAUCUUCUUACAACCUGAAAUUUAGAAAUUUAACAUUGCACUAUUGUUUGAUUUUACUUGAAGUGUGUAUCUUUUAUAACGGUGUAUUUUUGUAAAAAAUGAAUGUUCUUGAAAUUUAAAAGACAUUCUUUAAUGUAUUAAUGUAAGGUUCACACUACCGAUGCUGCUUUCUUUCAAUAUAUCGCUUCUGAUAUAGAACUUCUCUAGGUGCAAAGUUGGAUCAAAAGUGGUCUGAGGGAUUUUUCUAUUUCCCGAGCAUCUGUGGAUUGGGGCAUUCCUGUUCCUAAUGACAACAAGCAGACCAUAUACGUCUGGUUUGAUGCUUUACUGGGGUAAAGUUUUUCCUUUAGUUCGGAAUUAUUUUAUGUUGCAAGUUUGUGAGCAUUAUCAAUUAACAUAAACUUGGUGCUUCAUUUCCUUGCUUUCCUUGCUGCUAAUGUGCAAUUGACUCACAACUGCUUCCAUGAUAUACAUGUUUGGCUGUUUUUUCUUGUUGAACGUUGGUUUCUCCUUUGGUCAGUACACCUUUGUUCUCUUUUUAUUUGAUCUGUUUGUCCUCAAGUUUGUUGGAUUUUUUUCCUUGUACUUCAUCAGUUUAUUAUGUUGCUUAUCAGUAUUGCCAUCUUUCUGGUUUGCUUUUUAACAUUAAAUGAGUUUAUGUUGUGUCUCUCGCACUGAAGACUAUGUCCUCAAUAGCUAAUCUAUCCUCAAUUGUCAAAAUUUGUAUUGAUUUGAACGUUUGUAGCUUCUGGACUCUAAUUAUUUAAUUCAGCCUAGUUUAUCUGUGAAGCUCAUUGUUUCUAAUAGACUGGAAGAACUAUGUAUUCAAUUUCCUCUUCCAAUUUACAUAUUUGGAAUCUGGGUCUAUAUUGAAAAAAGCCAUCCAAGCUAAGUUGAUAUAGUCUAGUUCCUGGUGGAUCACCACAUUUUAACAGCUAUUUGUAACAAUACUAAUAAAGAUUGCUGCUUUUGUUUCCCCAUUAAAAUCAUUAUGCUGAGUUUUCAUUUGAACUUCUAUUAACUGUGUGUUAUAUCUUAUUUAGUUAUAUUUCAGCACUAUCAGAAGACAACGAACAACCUGAUUUACAAAGUGCAGUUUCUUCAGGUUGGCCUGCCUCGCUACACUUAAUUGGCAAGGUAUCACUACUUGCUCUCGUCUGGGAUAUUUUUCCACUUAUGGCUACUCAAUUGGCCUGAUUCAUUCAAUAUAACCAAUAUUACAAUUGGUGUCCAACAUUAGCUUAUUUUCCACUUCUUUUAACUUCUUGUGCUUAUUGCACUUCCAAGUUUCACCCAUCUGGGUUAUGGUUUUGUUUGUCAUAUGCCACAUAUCCUAUUUUGACUCCUAUUUUGAAACCAAGACAUGAGAAGUAGUUUCUAGAAAUGGAAAAGAAUUUUCAAAAAAUCAAUUGUCGUUAAGAGUCUUUCAAAUUGCCAAAAUUUUCUUUCAUACCCACAAUUAGAUAUUGUGGGGGACCCUAAUAGUGCCUUUCACUGGAAAAAGGAAAGGGUUAGAAUGAGGUGAUACCGAUUUAUCGCAGCUAUCUUUUUUCUCUGAGCCUUUGUUUGGCAAGCUGCUGUAAGUUUUCAAUGAAAUAUGUAAUACUGCCCUAGAAAAAUUCAUGAUUUCUUCUAGGGAAGAAGACAAAAGUUCAAACAAUCGAUAAGAUUAGAAAAUUCUUAGAUUAUGAACCCUCAAAACAUUCUGUGGUGGCCACCUGAGAACAAUCAUGUAGUCCUUAUAUUUUUGUUCAAAGAAUCCUUUGCAAGCUGCUUCAUUUCCAAAGAAUUUGAUAGAACCUAAUCCUUUUGUUAUUUCAGCCUUCUUAAAUAUUGAUGAUAAGGGAGUCGAGUUGGAUGGAUUGAUAACUGUUUAAAGUUUUCACUUAUGCAAUGAAAUGGUUCUAUAAGCACACUGUGUAUGCACCAUAUGCAUUCAAAAAUAGACACAGACUGAAUCCAAAAUGUUAAUGCAUCUUUACAAAUCUAUCAUCUUAACUUUCUCUUCCUCCUAGUAUCUAAAGUUUAGUGUUCCUUUUCCUUAUUCUGUGAUCAUUAGAAGACUUGUAAUGUGUUGUUAUUCUUAUUUCUAAACUUCUCAUUCUGUUGUCAAAAUUCUUUUGGAAGUUUCCUUUAUACUGUGCCACUGUCAUUUGAAUAUCAGUACCAUGAUGCUUCUCUUAUAUUUUUGUUGUUUUGCAGGAUAUUUUACGUUUUCAUGCAGUUUACUGGCCGGCUAUGUUAUUGUCAGCCGGAUUAAGCCUUCCUAAGAUGGUUUUUGGCCAUGGAUUCUUGACAAAAGUAUUCGACUCAAUAUGGUUAUCUUUGUAUUGUUUAUUUAUUUAUUUUUAUAGAACAUGAGCAUUAUAAUAUUAAAUAUGCUCUUCUUUUAACCUAAAUAUAUUAACCUGCUUUGUGCACUGAGCCUUCCAGAGAGCAUUGAUCUUUAAAAAACAUAUUGUAAGGUUACAUUAUAUGAUAUUAGUCAGCGUCCAUCUUAAGUUCCCAAGGGUUUUUUUCUCCUGAUAUUAGAAAAAUGUUUUGUUCUGGAAAAUGCAAAUUUUGGUUUUUUUUCCAACUUAAAACAAUUAUAGACAUGAUAGUGAGUUAUCAGCUGUUAAUAUUUUAUCUCAUAUACCUAUUUUAUUUCAUGCAGCAAUGCUUUUUAUUUUUAAAAUUUUAGGAUGGAAUGAAGAUGGGAAAAUCAUUGGGGAAUACACUUGAACCAAAUGAUUUGGUUCAAAGAUUUGGCUCGGAUGCAGUAAGAUACUUUUUCCUUAGGGAGGUGGAAUUUGGCAAUGAUGGGGACUACUCGGAGGACCGCUUCAUCAAUAUUGUCAAUGCACAUCUUGCCAACACAAUUGGUAUUUCUACUUUGUUUUUUUUUUUUUUUCUAUCUUCUCUAACGCCUACUUCCCCCUUUUUCCAUUAAGGAUUUGGUUGCUUUGCUUUUUCAUUCAUGAUUGGACUCUGAAGGUAGGGUGGCAAUACAUAAGAUGACCUUUGUACCUACUCUAUGCAGGAAAUCUUCUUAACCGUACCCUUGGGCUUCUUAAAAAGAAUUGCCAAUCAACUUUGGCAGUCGAUUCAACUCUUGCAGCUGAAGGCAAUGCAUUUAAGGACACUGUAGAUAAGUUGGUAAGAUUUGCAAGAUUGGCUGUAACCUUUUACCAUCGUGUGCAGGCAUGUAAGCCAUGAGAAUAGCAAAGAUGAUUUGAUAGUGGAAGUGAAUUUAUUCUGGAAGCCCCUUUUGAUAGAGAUGUUAACUAUGCUUAAUUUGCGGAAAACUGGUGGGGAACCCACCAGAUAAUCAAGCCACUGUAAUUUCACUAUGUACUGAGUCUAAAAACUUCCACCUAGCUCUAUACAUGCAAGUGGUGGGUCAAUUCCACAGGGUGUGACAAUGUGUUAUGUUUCUCAUUGCUGUUAUACUAUUAUGUUAUAUGUUUCUAAAUAUAAUUAUUACUCAUUUUUGCAUAUAACUGGAUAACCUUGAUUCUGUCAGGUUGAAAAGGCUAAGUUUCAGUAUGAGAACCUCUCAUUAUCAUCAGCUUGUGAGGCUGUGCUAGAGAUUGGUAAUGCUGGGAACUUGUACAUUGACGAGCGUGCACCAUGGUCUCUUUUUAAGCAAGGUGCUGCUGCUUCUGAAGCUGCUGCAAAGGUAUCUUUCUUUCCCCUAUUUUUUUUUAAGAGAAAAAAUUGUGAAGAUCACAAGCUUGAUUUUCCCCACCUGAAAUGAAACUGUAACUAAUCGCAGAUAAAAAUUUCCUGGACUUUGAACUUGCUCAAACCCGAAUUGGCCUAGCAUGAUAUUCCAAGUUUUUCACUAUUUUGAUGGUUUUGUUUUGGGCUAGGAUCUUGUGAUUAUAUUGGAAGCAAUGAGGAUUAUAGCAAUUGCUUUAUCACCAGUCACUCCAAGGUUAUCUUUGAGAAUAUACGAACAGCUUGGGUACACAAAGGAGCAGUUCAAUGCUACAACCUGGGUAUCUCUCUCUCUCUCUCUCUCUCUUACAUAUAUGAAUAUAUAAACUGAUUAACUAAUAAUCUCCAGCAGUUUGUUAAUUAACAUUAUUUGGGCUUUUGCAUUGUAGAGUGAAACAGAAUGGGGUGGACUGAAGAGCGGCCAAGUGAUGGCUCAGCCAAAGCCUGUUUUUGCUAGGAUCGAGAUCGAAGCAGAGGUUGGAGAUGGAGGUGAAGCAGCAAAGAAAGUUGUGAAGAAGAAGGAAAAAAUACCCCACACUCAGGGAGUGGCACAAGCCUAAACAUCAAUUUAUUUGAUAAAAUUGCUUUCCAUUAAUUUUUCUUGUACCAAAUUCUCGCUUAAUUUACAUUUGGAUAAUCUUCCCACAAUAAACUUUUUUGUCAUCUCAAUCUUCAGCAGAUUGGAUUGACAGAUGUUUUUAACUACCCUUUUGUAAUAAAUAUGCAUUAGCCUAGACGUAGUAUAUAAUGAAAGUUAUGUCAAGAAAAAAGGUUCAAGAUUCCACCUUUGCUCAAUCACCAUAACUAGGCCUCAUGACGACGGCUCAACCGCUACCACAACCACGAGGGUGGGCACCACCACCGCCACUCAACCAUGACUGAAGCACACACGAUACCUCCAACCUCAUGAUUCGAUCACACAAGGCACCAUAAUCGUCACCACAACCUCAAUUGCGACCCUGAUCCCUCUCUAUUAUGGUGCGGUGGUGGUGGUGGUAAUCGAGCCUUCGCUUGUCUAGCUUCAAGACUCAAACCAUAAGGAAACAGUUGAGUGGUAAACUAAUCAUGAGGCAUCAGAUUAAAGGUGCACCAAAGAUUUUGAUAAUCAUGCUUCAAAGCCGCAAACAAAUCGUUUCUUGAAUAUAUGUAGUUAUAUUUAUAUAUAAUUAGAUAUACUUAAUAACACUCUUGACUGCGGACUGCCUAACUUGAGAAAAUAUUCCUCUGUUUAUAUGAUAACUUCAUAACAAAUGAAAAGCCCACUGGUCCCAUUUAUUCUAUAUGACAAAUAUAUAGGAAAAUGGAGGAAAACAUGGAGGGAAGAUCAGGAAGCGCUCUGAUGUAACUGGGAAAACAGAUACGCCUGCAGCCAGCUACAUUUUCACUAUAAUAGAUUUCAAUUUUUUGCCACUCCAAGCCUCAGCCUGAAAUCCUCCUCCAUGAGAGGAAGGCCUUCACGCAACUUGACGUUCGGUUCCCAUCCCAGCAACUCCUUUGCCUUUGUGAUGUCUGGCUUCCUCUGGCGAGGAUCGUCUGGUGUGUUUUCCACCAUGCUGAUCUCAACCUUAGGGUUGAUAAGCUGCAUGUUCAAUUAAUCUCCAAGUAUUAGAGCUGCCACAUCCAAAUCUUUCAUAUUCUCAUGAUUUUUAAUAUAAUUUUUGCUUUUAUAUCUCAUGGUAAUGUUUGGAAAUUGCAGAGAAGAUGGAUUUAAUUUGGGCCAAAGGAACCAGAUAUUGCUAAUUAAAAAAGAAAAAAAGAGGCAAAUAUAGUACUCACCUCCUUCACUGUCUCAGCAAGUUCGAGCAUUGUAAAUUCACCUAUAGUUAAGAAAUUUAAGAACCAGGGUCAGGAAUAGCAAUAAAGUAUUUUCCAUAUGCCUCGAAAUUGGGUCUAAGCACCAUAGUCCCUAUUGUUAUGUGAUAAAGGAUUCGUAUAAUAACCUGGAUUCCCGAUGUUGAUGGGGCCUGUGUUGUCUCCUUCCAUGAGUCGAACAAGUCCAUCAACCUUUAAAAUUUGGAAAGUAAAAAUAAAAAUAGUGUAUAAGGAAUAUUUCUAACACCAAGAUGAGUAGUUGAGAAAAUUGUAUGGAACUCUCCAAUGCAAAUAAAUGAACUCUUGCAUACCAUGUCAGACACGUAACAAAAACUCCGAGUUUGUGUUCCAGGAGCUUGAACAGUCAAGGAUUCACCACUGCAUGGAUGGCCAAGCAUAAGGAAAUUGUUGCAACCAAAUUAAAAAAAGAAUCAACUCAUCUCACUCCAUUCAAGGACGUGCUUCUUUUGGUAGGCUUGCUUUACUUAUUUUAUUGGCAGUGAGGGUAGAGAAGCAGCUAAAAUAAUGGGUAAAGCAUGUAGAAAAUAAUAAAAUGCUAGUUUUCAAAAUAAUAAAGAUUACCGAAUUGCUUGAGCAAUGAAAUUGCUGACAACACGCCCGUCAUCAAUAUUCAUUCGGGGUCCAUAAGUAUUGAAUAUCCUGGCAAUCCGUAUCUCUGUUAUAGGAUCACCAUUUCAAAAUAAAGUGAGAGUGCAUUGGAAAGUAGAGUUUCAGAUAGAGAGAGGGAGGGGAAGGGAGUGAACAAUUUUACACAUCCCAUCAGUGACUGAGUGAAUGUGUGUAGGUGUGGGGGUGUCUGUGUGUUGGGUGUAUGGAUCAGAGAGAGGGAGCCCAAUUUUACCUAUUCCAUGCUGCCUGUGAUAAUCAAACAUCAGAGUUUCAGCCACUCGCUUUCCCUCAUCAUAGCAACUCCUGACUCCUGUAAUAUAUAUAACGGAAGGCAUAUAGAAUCAUAGUUAGAGAAAAGGUCUUUUUUCCUACAUAAAAUUAACAGAGCCGCCAAAAAUGUCAGUCUGCUAAGAUAUCCAUGCAUAACAAGUUUUAACAAAAACCCAUGAAUACAUUUUCACAUGAAAAAUAACUCUGCUCUGCUUGCCAUAAUAAUCUCAAGUUACACAAGAAUAUGACAGCAAAUAUACCUAUCGGAUUGACAUUGCCCCAGUAGCUCUCUUCCUGUGGAUGCACAAGAGGAUCACCAUACACCUCUGAAGUUGAUGUGAGCAAAAUCCUGUAGCCAUUAUUACAUGCUAUAAGUAAGACCAGAAUUAUGUUUAUAAACAAAAUGCAACAAAGAGACGGGCAAGUAGUUUCCAACCUGGCUCCAACUCUCUUGGCAAGCCCCAACAUGUUCAAGGUGCCAAUCACAUUUGUCUUUAUUGUCUGUUAAGUAUUGCAUGAUUUACAAGGAAAACCAUCAUUAAUGUCCAAAGCAUACUCAGGGAAAAACAUAUAAUUGAUUACUCAUUAAGAAAUUAGAAGAGAUAAAAUGGGCAUGAAAGCUAUAUUUCUCUAACGGAGGAUUAAGGGCCUCUAGCUACUGUCAUCUCAGCUUUCACAGUUAACAAAAACAGGAAUAUAUCAAUUCUUUUACUCCAUGUUUGGUUCUUGAAAAUUUUGGGGGAAAGAAAAUAGUAAGCAAAAUAGAAAAUAUUUAAAGUUAAUAAAUUACUUUUAAAUGCUUCUUUAAGUUUAAUGGUAAGGAGAUAAAAUAUACACACCUUCACAGGAUUGUAUUUGUAGAAAAUUGGUGAUGCAGGACAAGCAAGAUGGUAUAUUUGAUCAACCUCAAUCAACAAUGGCUCAGUAACAUCUGGAUGAAUAGAAAUAACAAGAGAUAAUAUGUGAAAAACAAAUAAAAAAAUUGAUAAAAAGCAAAAAAUAAAAAGGGAUAAGAUGAUAGAAAGCAUGAUUUACAGAGAACGAAAUAACACUUUGGACAAUCAGAUAAGUAUUUUAAUAACACAACGAAUCCAGAAGCAAAUAACUCCAUAGUUGCUUAUAUGUUAUAUCAUGCAACCUGCAGUAAAUGUCAGUUUGUUUUCAUACCAUUUUCCCAACAAAUUUAAGACCAGGUGAACAUUGGGAUCAUCACCAAUAUGGGAUGAGUAUUGUCCACAUUUCGAUUUGUCAUCCAUGGGUCCAACCAUUUUCAAGGUUUUUAUUUAGAAUAUUUCUAGCCAUCCAUCACUUUCCCUGUUUCCUUUUUCCCCUCUCUUUCUUUCUUUUUUCUUUUUUUCUUUUUUCCUUUUGAUAGGUAAUUUUUGUCCCUAUUGGGACUUGAACCUGGAACCUCCCACAAAAUUUUUCCCUGUUUCCUCUACCACUUUUUCCCCUUCUCUUUUGAAGAAAAGCAUCCCUUCAGAUCAUUUGAAAAUGAGUUUCCGAUUAAAAAUAAGCAUCAACAUAUCAUGCUGCAGAGACAAAAAUUGUCUACUAAGUUCAAGGAGAUCUGCAAAAGACAAAACUUAGACAUUUGCAAAUUCCAUUGUUUGCAGCAUCGCUACAGUGAUGAAAAGAAAAGCACCACAAUAAAUGUGACAUGAACCCAUCCAGCAAAUAAAGAACUUGACAAGGAAAGGCGUUUAACAGUCCUGAUUGUGUCCACCUUGUAAUGACAAAGCAAAUGAGAAUAAUACCAUGACGAAUAAGCUCAAAUCUUGGAUGACCAAUCCAUUUCCUCAGGUUAUCUUUAGAUCCAGUGAAGUAGUUAUCAGCAACAAUCACCU
rnacentral:lncRNA from 1 species